AAAAAAAAAAAGACUUACUGGUUAAUAAUGACUUUGUUCUCGAUCUAGUGAUCGUUUGAUCUUGUGGAAAUGUUCUAGACACUUCUUCUUUCAAAGGUGGAUACAAAUUCUUUUUGUAAGACGAUAUUAACGAUUGUUUCACGGAGUUUUGUUCUUCAAGCCGAUCUAAUCUUCCAUUUAUUUCGACUUGAUCAUAUUGUUUUGUAUCCGAAGUAAUUCCUGCAAAAAUAUAUUCCAAACAUGCAUUAAAAAAAAAUCAAGAAUUGUAUACUAUAUAUAUAGAGAGUCAAAAGCAGCAUAUUAUAACCACAAUAUUAUUUAUCCCACUAUUAACAAACCUUUUGUUUCUCUUUUAACACUGAUUUAAAUUAAAAAGUGACAAAACUUUUGUUUCUCUUUUAAAACUGAUUUAAAUUAAAAAGUAUACAAAGAAUGGGAUAGAAUUGUCGUUGUCACAUAUCUCAUGAUGCACAAGCAAAUCAAAAGAAAGUGUGUAACUUUACACCCGAAGUUAGCUGUUUCAAUUUUUUUUUCCCUUUCAAACUAUAAAACAUAAAUGAAUUUCGAAUAGAUUUUGUACCUACCAUGAAUCGGGACAUGUAACGGUUUGUGCUAGUGGCGUAGCAGUGUUAAUUAUAACUCGGUGGCGUAGUAUGCGUGUAUGAAUUGUGGACGAUAACUAAAAAAGAUUUAGUACUUACCGUUAGCAAGAUCUAGCACAAAGUCAGCCGGGUUAACGAAACUGGAUCCGGGUUGAUACCCAAUUGAACCAAGAUACUCCAUGACCCGACCCGAAUUCCCACUAUAAAUAGGACAUCCUUCUGAUAAAACCAACACUUUAUCAAACAUCCGAUAAAGCCGACUCGACGGCUGAUGAAUCGUCGUAACAACUGUCCGGCCGCCGCGUGCCAGCGAUCUCAAGGUGGCGACUAUUCGCACCGCCGUGGUUGAAUCAAGCCCCGACGUUGGCUCAUCAAGAAGCAACAAACUUGGGUUCACAAGCAUUUCUUGUCCAAUACUUACCCGUUUUCUUUCCCCACCGGAAAUUCCUCGGAUCAACCCGCCUCCUAUUACACUGUUACAACACCGGGUCAACCCAAGAUCCGAAACCACUGUCUCCGCCUGCUCUAUCUUCUCUUUCCGGGUCAGCUCUUUAGGUAAACGGAGCAAAGCCGUGUACGUUAGCGUCUCCAUGACCGUUAAGUGUGGGUAGAGAACAUCGUCUUGUGUAACGAACCCCGUUUUCCGUUUAACGGAGCUUGUAAACGGUUCUCCGUUAUAGCUAACGGUUCCUGAUAGCUUCCCUUGUAAACGUCCGGCCAACGCCGUUACUAGCGUUGUUUUGCCACUCCCUGAUGGACCAAGCAUUGCUAGUAACUCCCCUGGUUUGACUAUACCACUUACACCGUUAAGGAUUAACCGGUUCGGUUUUGGUUCUUGUGAACCGAACCAAUAGCUUCCUUUCCCGGUUUGUGAUUUUAUACUGUACGACAAUUCCUCAAACUGCAUUACAUACACAAAUCCAACGAAAAAAAUUUAUAACACGCAAAAUAGGAAAAUUACAUAAUUUAUGAUAUAUAUAUUAAUUUCACGACCUUGAGGAUUAUAGGACGUAAAGAUUGACGUAGAACAGAAGACUGUCUUGAUUGGUGACUCGGACCGUCGUGGUCAUCGUCAAGGCAUGGGAUUACAUGACUUGGAGAGCUAAGCCGGUUAUCUUGAACCGGACUAGUUUCGUGUCGGUUUGCGCCUGGUGUUUUCGGAAAGCUAGAUUCUUGCUCAUUAGGAGGCAUCAUCUAGAGAGAAAAAGAGAGAGGGACGAAGAGAGAGAUUUGGUGUGUUGUGUUGAGAAGUUCACAUGUUAUGCGAUGUGUAUAUAAAGGAAAGAAGUGGGGACUCUUAUAACGAAGGGAAAAUUAACUAGGAGAGAGAGACUUUAUUCAUAAGUACUCAUAAUGCAAUAUAAUUAAUUUUCCACUUUUAAAGUAGAGAUAAUGUCAACUUAUAAUUAUUUAUACAGUUUCAUACACUGAUAAACUGAUAGGUGUUCAGUAUUCUUCAAUACAUUACAUAGGUCACUAAACUACUAUGGCCUAUCUAAUUUUAUUACUCCGCUGUAAAAGUAUGAAUAUGUUAUAUAACUAAUUUAAACGUUGUAUAGCUAACUAUUUUGUUUUGUUAAAAAAUGUGCUAUAUCAAUUUAUACUAUCCCCGUUGAUAUAAUGCAUGCCAAUUUGAGCUAAAAUUUGUAUUAAAUUACAAAACGAUAUGAUAAUGAAACGAAUGUUAUAUUAGAUGUGCUAUUUAUAUAUUAUUAUGAAAUACUGAUAUUCUUACAUAUUCGAAAAUUAAUUUGCAUUUUAAGACAUGCAAAAGUAAUAGAGGUAUUCCAGAUUCGAUCCACCCUAGAAACAAAAAACACAUUUGUAUGGGAGAAGUCUGAGUUCGACUUUGGCCCAAGCAAUUCACAUGGUAUUCGAGAUUAGGCUAACUGGAUACUCCGGACAUUAGUCGGAAAGCAACUCAAACUCGGAAUUAGGUAGUGUGGUAGUCCAACACCUAGAUGUUGGCGACGAGUCCACAUGGUAGUAUUUCGGUGUGUUCUCCAGAAGCUGACCGGAUGAGCCGAUUGAGUAUAUAUAUAUAAAAAGAAAAUAAUAGAAAAAUUAAAACAAAAAAAAAAGUAAUAGACAAAGUCUUCGUUUUCUUGAACACGUAGCAUGUUUAUGAUGUCAUAGCAUGGACAAAACAUAGUAUCUUUUUUUGAGAGUGACAAAAGCAAAGCGUUUUACGUUGUUUCUGGUCCAGGAUAAUUUUAAUUUGAACAUGAACUCAAAUGCACCAAUAAUUAUUAGUUGCAUUUCUACCUUUUAAUUUUUAAUUGACACUAAAUGUGAUUCGCUGAAUUAAAUGAGGAAACGUAGCUCGAAAAGAGAAGAAGAAAUUAACAUUAUUGUUAAAAAGGUGGUUGGAUUUGACACCAAAACAGAAAGCUAAGAACAUUACAGAACAAAGUUAUUAUGCUUCAUUGCGACACAUUUAUUCUAGAGAUUCUAUUCAAAGAGCCUAACCAAUACAGCUGUAUAUAUCAUGUAUACACCACAAUUUUUUCCCGCCUAUAUAUUGAUAGAAAGUUAAAAUUUACCAAAUACCCCAAAAGCUUUUUUCUAAUUAAUAUGAUAACGCAUUAUUAAAAGGAAAAGAUACAUUCAUAUCAGACCUAUUCUGAUUCAUACAACUAUAUAUAAAAGUUGGCUAAUUACAUAUAUACACAAUCAUAAUUUAACUAAAACAUACAUUGAUCUACCGCCAUUAAUCGUCAAAUUAUGUUUGUUCAUGUAUGAAACUGGGCAAGUUUUAUAGUUGGUGCAUGCAUGCACACUGACUUUUUUUUUUUCAAUAGGCACCAAUAUGAAUGAUUGGUUCAUUCUGUUUAAUAAAUCAAACAUAUAAGGAUGAGAUGGAAAGUGACAUACAAAUUGAAGUUAAAGGAUUUGGAAGUAUAAGAAUUCAAAAUGAUGAUAACUCCUUGUUCUUCUCAAGAUUAUGAAGCAUGUAUAUGGGAUAGCUCUAAGAACUUUAGAAAAUUAAAGAUGUUGGUUAAAUCAAGAAACAAGAAAAGUAUUGUGGCCCUUUCCUAAUUAGUAAUUAGUAUUAGCUUUACGAAAUAUGUAAAAUUGUAUUAAAAUAUUUUUAAACAAUAACCUACUAGUAGGAAACCAAUAGAUUUGAUGGCUUCAAAAAUUUCACCAUUAUUAUAAAAGAAAACAAGUGGCCCUAAAAAUAGAAAUUGGCAUUAUCCUCAUUCUUGAUUUUAACCUUUUACAUUCUUAACAAUUUUUGUUAUGUAUAUUCGAUUUGAGUGUAAAAGAGAGAGUUUAAUAAACUUCAAACUUUCUUUGAAAUCGAUCUUCAGCUCAACCUAAGUUAAGAAAAUUGGCUAAAAUAAAACAAAUUUGCAAAAUAAACUAUAAUCAGACGAGAAUAUAUAUAUACCUACGGAAAUAUUAGGAAUAUUAUAUAUCAUGUGAAAAGGACUGGAUAAUGUCUGAUAAUGAUGGGAUGCAAAAGAUUAUUACGACACGAACACAUAAAUAAAAAGUUUUGAAAAUUUCAUUCAAGGAACAAGAUUCUUGAAUAUAAGUUAUUGACAAAUUUACAUUUCUAUGAGAAAUUUGUUUUUUUCUAGAAUUAAUAUUUUUGUUGCAGAUUAAUAGGGAGGAUAAUUUGAAUUUACAAAAAACAAUGAAAUCUUUUUACCAUAUAGGUUAACUUUAUCCUUAACCCCUAUGCUUUUCCUAAACAAGAUUGGUCUAAAUUAUUCUUUUAAUGAGAAAAAAGAAAAGAACAAGCAAGUCUUAUCCUUUUACCCUAUUCUUUUCACAAAAUGUAAAAAAUAUUUACCAAGUCCUUGCUUUUGAUGGAGGUAGUAACUUUGAAUCUGAUUCAGUGAAGUAUUUAUAUAUUUUCUGAGAAAAAAAAAAAAUCGUGCCUGCAUGAGGUAAUAUUAUUCAUCCAUAUUGGAAUGAAAAGAUCAUAUGAAAAACUACAUAUAAUAUAUAAACACCAUCGACUGUCACUAAUCAUAAUCAAAGUUCGUAUAGAUAAUGCAUGAUCUCUUGGAAAUAUUAAUGGCUCCACUGAGCUUAUAUGUUCAAUUAAAUACUGAUUUUCUUUCUUGAGGGAUUUUCAGAACAUUUUUAUACGUUUUCUGAUAUUUUUUUCUUUCGCUAUACGUUUUCUGAUAGAAAAAUAAAAAUACGAAUUUUAUUUGUGUUGUGGGUGAUUAUUAUAGGUGCUAUUUUGGACGUGGCACUUGCUAGUUCGAUGCUAACGAUUUUGGGUAAGAUUGUGUCUUCUCUUUCUUAAAGGAAAAGAUAGUCUUCGUUGAAUCAUAAUGUUCUCCAAACCUUUGAUUGUUGUCUUUUUCCCUAAAAAAUUCAUCUAAAAAGAAAUCUUAAAUCAGAAAGUCUAUUUGUUUAGGUGUCCGACGAAUAACAAUAAAACAUUGCAAAAGAAGAAGAGGCGAUUAAGAUAUUAAUCGAAUUGUCAUAUAAUAAUUUUUUUCCACAAAAAUUGUAGAUUUUAUAGCUUUAUGCCGAACCAAAUCUUAAACACUAAUCAUUUACUCAAGGGACUUUGUAAUUCUAAGUCAGCUUUAAUGAUGUACGUUUCAGUUGCUUUAAGUUUUUUUUUCUCUCUUUAUUAUUAUCAUAUUGAGGAAAAAUAAAGAUGAGUACAUGACUUCAAAGAUAUUAAUAAGCAAUAUAAUACUAUAUGACUAUGUUAAAAAACAAUGCUAAAUGUGAGUUGAUUGAUCUAUUAAGAUCAUCUCCAAAGGGGACCUUAUAUUUGAGGUUUGCCAAACCUUAAAUUUGAGGUUUAGAGUUGUGUCUCUUCAAACGAAAAUCUUAAAUUUAACUUCAAAAGAAUUUUUAUUUUGCAUAAUAGUCCUUACUAUUGAUUAUAAUUAAAAAAAAUCAUAAAACUUUUAUAAAUAACAAUAAAACAUACAUUAGAAAUUUACAAGCAGUAUUAACUAAUAAGAUGUUAUAUUAUAUUAUAAAAUUACAGAAAGUAAUAAUAAAAACACACAAACGAAAUCAUAAAUUAAAACUAAAUUUAAAUUCUGUGCCAUUUAUUAGAUCUCACUCCUCAUCAACCGUUGGAUUCAACUUCUAUCUAAACUAUAACUUAUCCUAGAUAUAGAUUAAAAAAAAAUGUGAAUUUCAUCAACGUCAUUCAUUAUAUCUCCACUCAUCACCAACCAUUGGAUUGAAAUCCUAUCCAAAAUUUUAGAUAAGAAAAUCUACGAAAUUGGUUUGUGGCCAUUCCUUUGAACUAGGGUUUUCCAUUCAUUGUGUAUAAAUAAUAGACUUCUAUGGAAUGAUAAUAUCACAAUUCGACUAACUCUUCUUGUGACUAAAAAAUAUGGAAAAAAAAUAGAGGCUCAUCAUUCAAUCAAAAUGAAGAUGAGUUGCUAUGUUGUGUGUAUCUAGAAAUAUCACAAGAUCUAAUUGGUAGUAAUAACCAAUCUGUGGGAAAAUUUUGGGAAAAAAUAAGUAAAAGCUACCACGAAAAGAAAACUGGAGGGCUGAGAAAUUAGAAACAUAAGAUCUUUACAGAAUAGGAUGAAUAACAUUACAUAUGCUAUUAGGAAUCUGAAGAACUGCAUCACCCAAGUGGAGAAUAUGCAUCCAAGUGGUGCGUCCGAAUUUGAUAUCGUAAGUACAUUUGUUUUCUACUUAAUUUAUAAAUAAUUUUUUAAUUAACAAAUUCUAUUUUUCAAUAUUCUGUAGAUGAAAAAGGCCAAAAAACUCUACAUACAAGAUCCAAAACAAAAGAAUGGUUUUAAAUUUGACCACGUUUGGAAUUUGAUGAAGGAUAUAUGAGUAUUAGUAUUGUUGUAGUAAUUUAAUUUGUGUAAUAUUUAUGUGUUCAUGUGAAAACUACACUAAAUAUAGUGUUAUUUCAAUACCAAAAUGGUGUUAUGGUUGGAGAUGCCCUAUAUAUUUCCGUAAUGGUCUCAUAUAUGUAAUCAAUGCGUUUCGAAGAGCUAUAUCAGAAAUUAAAAUCUAUAUUUAUAAGACAUAAAAGUUAAGGACUAAAAUGAUAAAAUAAUAAACUAGUAAAAUUAUUUAUAAGAUAUAAAUAAAUGUAAGGACCAAAAUGCAAAUAAAAAGAUGAAACUUCAAAUUUGAGGUUUUGAAUAGUGAAACCUCAAAUAUAAGGUUUCACUAUUCAAAACCUCAAAAUAUGAGGUUUUGAGGUUACUUUUGAAAAAUAAAAAACCUCAUACUUGAAGAUUUGAGGUUGCCUUUGGAGAUGCUCUAAAUGAACAAAAAAUUUAUAUAGUUGAUGCUUAUACGAUAUUUGGAAGAUAACCAGAGAAAAAAAAAAACUAAAGACAGUUUAAUAAUCUCUUAAAAAAUCAUCUUAUGAAAGUCUUAUGCAUCUUCAACAUGAGCCAGGUAAGCUUGUAGCUGUGCCUACGAGAAUCCAUUUCAAACUGAAAGCAGCUACUUGGCAAGAAGGUCUGGAUUAGUUGAUUCAGUAAAGAAUGUUCCUUAUUAUUUAUUAAACUGUUAUGGAGAGUAUUAUGUACUUUGGAAUUGGAACAAAGCUAGAUUUUCAUAUCUUGUUAGUCGACUUAGCAUUCAUGAGCAAACAUAUUUAGAAAACAUUGUCAAGCAGCCAAGUAGUCAAAUGAGUGUGUCAAAUAGAUCAAGGGGACUAUGAUGACAAAUAUGAAUUACAUAAAUUGGGGAAAUUUUUGAGAGUAAGAUCAAUCAAAUGUCUACCUUCCACUGUUAGUAAUAUAAUUAGUUGGAUGAGUUCAUAUGUAGUUGUGCUUAGCAAAAUGCAUGGGGUGAUUGGAUAGCUUUGUUAAAGGAAACAUGGGUAGUAAAGUUAUUACUCUCAAUUCAUACAUAUUUUUUCAAAUCAACGAAGUCUUUUUUUUAAAAUCUUUUUUCUCUUUCUCUUAAUUUUUAUCUUUUAUUAAAUAUCUUUUCAUUCAGAAAAGCUAGUGGAAAUUAUUUUCCACCUAGUUACUCAUAUCUCUUAUUUUAAUUAUUGUCAUUCCUACUCUUUUAGAAAUGAAUCACAUCUAUGAGAAAUGAAUCACACCUAUAAUUAGUAACGGAUCUAGAAAAUAUUUUUUUUGUUUAAAAUAAAAUAAUUUUACCCGGAUCAUAAUAUAUCAAAUAAUAAAAUAUUAUAUAAUUACUCGGGUAAAUAAGAUUUUAUUAUUUGAUAUAUUAUGUCCCGGGUAAAAUUAUAUUAUAUAUCUAACAUUUUACAUUAACUUUUUCUAUAUCUUAUACUAAUUUAAUUUAUUUAAAAAUAUUAUAUAAGAAUACUUUAUAUUCAAUGUAGUAACUUUGGAAAACUAAAUUUAGUUAGAGAAUAUAAAAUAAAUAUGUAUAUUUGUAUACUUUUAAAUAUAUAUAUAACUUGAAAGAUGGAGAGAAAACCCAAGAUUUGGAGAGUACAAGUAUGAAAUCACGAAAAAAAAACUAAGGAAAGAGGGGUAAUAGGUGAUUCGAUCUUCCCUAUUAUAAAACGUUUGAAGGUUUUUCUAUGAAAAUUUAGUGAAAUAUAAAGUAUUAUAAUAACGAUAAUUUAUUCAAUUAUAAUGAUAAACUUAUGCUUAUGUUUAUAAACUUAUCUUCAUGCCGAUUAUAAUCUAGUCAUAUAUAAGUAUUAUAAAAAUGAAAAUAAAAGUGUAUAAACAUUAAGAAAUAUUGCAAUAAUCAUUAUAAUUUGUUUUGGUAAUUUGAAACUUUAGUGCAAUAAUUUGUUUUACAAUUAAAUAUGAAUAAUCUUAACUAGUUUUGAAAGAAUGUAUAAUGGAAUAAAUAAUAUAAUGAAUUAGAAAAGGAUCUAAAUAGUUUAGAGAGUCUGCAUGUGUCAAACCAAACUAUAAUGAGAACAUCAUAACGACGAGCUUCUUGAUUGCGAAUAAAAGUUUACCACGAAUCAUUUUAUUAAUGGUGCUCACUAACAUCGGCGCCGGUGUUGGAGCUUCGUCAUGACGUUUUUGGUUUCGAUUUAGCCAAAGAUGAUAAAUCGAAUUUCGGAAGCAAAUCUAAUAAGAAGCAAACUAGUUUCAUCGUUUUGAACGGGAGCAAUCAUGUAAACACGGAUUCAAAGUGUUAUCAUAACCAAAGGUCGAUAGCUCAACUCGAAAGAAACUUUGGAAAUUUUCAAGAGGUCACAUGAUUAAGUGGCAGAUGACACGGAUAAAAAUAUUGAAGACUGGCCCGAGUUAGGAAGAUAUAUAGGCUUCGAUCCGAAACUUUUUAAUUAAAAAAAAAAGUGUUAUGCAACCGAAUUUUCCGAUUACUAAUAUAACCGAAGAACAAAGAAAAACAACACGUAUAUUUUACAGAAUUUAUAAUACUAAAAUCAUUAAGCAGUAAAAUAUUAAACAAAAGAAGCAUAGCUUCUAUUUUUUUUUUUUUUGAUAAACCCUAUCGGCUAUCCGGUCGGUCUCGGUAGGAACGCACCGUGGUGUUAUAUAGUGGAUUGGUCCACCGCGUUAACGGUUAGGCUUUUACGGACUACCACUCUGCCUAUCCCGAUUUUGGAAUGCAUUCCAACUAAUUAUGUUAUUCAAACUUUUUCUUUUCAAGUAAUUGAAAGAGGUGUGGUCGUCGAUUCGGAAAACUAUUCCCUCAACUUUAUUUUAAAAAGUAUAAUAAACUUGACACUCAGUUAACAUAUAUAAAUUUGACACAUGAUUUUCCUGUGGCCAAGUAUAUAUUUAGUUUUUAAUAAAAUUCCAAGAAUAUUUGAUCUUUGCGUGUCGGAUCUUUGACGUUUAUUAAAUUAGUUGUCAAAGAGCAUAAAAUGAAAAAUUCGCACUAAGACAAAUAUUCAUCACGAAGGACCUGUAAAUCAAGAUGCCAACCCUUCUGCUUAUUUUCUUAUAUAUCAAUAUCAAAGUCAUUAAAUAAUAUUAUUUUCUUUUCUAAAAUCUUAAUAUAUAUUAAUUAAGUGAUGAACUAUUGAAUUGUUUAUUAACAAAAAGAAACUAUAGAAUUUCUGAAUUUAUCAAUUCAAAAAACAUUUUAUUAGCAUAUUUCGCUUAUUAACAACAUGUAAUAAACGGAUUUACAUAUGGAUGGUUACAACGCCAACAAUUCACUACUAUAAAUUGUGGUCCAUUUAAUUGGUAUAUUAUUGUUGAAAGCUACUCUUAUGUGAAAUAAUAGUUACGGGGAAAAAGAAGAUAAAUGAUGCUGAUUUUUUUUUCAAAAAGUAAUUUAUUUAAUGUGCAUUUUUUUUUUAAUUACUAAUUUGUGAAGUUUCAAAUUUUUUUAUGAGCUUAUAUUUCAAUGGACCAAACAAAAUGAGCACAUAAAGUUGUAACUAAUAGACUAAUAGUGUUGUCAAAACAAUAUAUAUGUUAUUACCUUUUUGCAUGUUCUAUAAAGGGCCAUGCAUUAUUAAGGUUAAAACUUUUGCAUGUUCCUCAAAGGAAAGACUCCAAAAGCUCGAGAUAGUACUAGAUAUAUCUGCAAAGCUCUUCAUAUUUAUUCAUCAACAUUUAAAAAUAAACAGACCGUACCCUAUAUGAGAAAAAAAAUCAAAUUCAGUUUUUACUCAACUAAAGGAAAUAACACAUUCACGAAGUAAUAAUGGAGAACAAUAAUUUGUUUGAUAGUAAACAAGAUUCAAAAAGCUCGAGAGUCUAUAGUACAUAUAACAACAAAAGUAUCAAUUGAAUGCUCAUAAUCAUAUGCAAAUGUUUUAGUAAAGUGAAGCAUCCGCUUACAAUGCUAUGGCCAUCAAUGCUAUCAAAGGCAUAUUAUCUUUUAGAUCCGCUUCGAUUAGGUCUGGAAUUCUAGAUGUUUAUAAUGAUCCAAAUGAAGGAAACAAAAAAGUAUAGCAUCCAUUGAAAAAACAAAGUAAGAUCACAAAUAGUAAUUUUAGAAAUCUAGAUAUCCAUUCUGUAUAUAUAUAUAUAUAUAUUUUUUUUUCUUUUUUUUUCAAUAUAUAUAUAUAUAUAUAUAUAUAUAUAUAUAUAUAUACAUGUUUUACUCUAUCAUGAAUUUAUAGUUUUAUGUGUAUUUUGUGUACUUUAAAAUACAUAGCAAGAGUUUUAAACUAGUAACAAUAUGCAUUGUAAAAUUAUAUUUACAAACUUAAUUUACAUUACUAAGAAAAGUAUAAAUUUUAAUUUUAGAGUUUUAAAUGAAGUUUUUUUUUUUUUGGUAAGAAACACAGUUUUUUUGUUCACUUUUUUAAGUCUUUUUUUUUUUUUCAUUUUUCGUGAAAAUUAGGUAAUAUCAUAUCUUAUUCACUUGUUAGUUUACAAAAGGUAUGUAUAUUUUAAUUUUAAAAUUUCAAACUUUUAACUUAAUUUUUUUAGUAUAUCAGAUAUCUAGCGGUGUGUAUAUUCAAACAAAAUUAUGCGAUAUUUUUUUAAUGAAGCGGACUGGAAAAUUAAUUAGUUAUCUAGUAGUUUUUUUUUUCUUUUUGUUAACUACUUAUCUAGUAGUUUGGAACAAAAUAAUUACUGAUAUUAAGUUUUUCACUUUGUCUUCAGUUCUAAACUUCUAAUGCUACCACUAAAAUGCUUAUUUACCUAGACACUGUUAUUUUGUUAAUAAAACUCCGAAUGCUUUAUUUUCUGUCGACGAAUAUGUAUAUUUACACACACUGACACACACAUAACAUUAGCAUAUACAAGUGCAGAUUUAUUGUUGACAAAAGAAAGUGUAGAUAGAUUCUAGAGCAUCUUCGGUCGGUACGAAUGUCGUCCCACCAUAAGUUUGGUUCACUUCUCCAAUUUGCAAUUAUUUGUCCUUUUCUCAGUUUACACGUAAACAUACACAGAACGAAUAAUGAUUGUUUUCAUACUUUGUUCUUCACGAUAUCGUAGUAAUUAGGGUCCAAGAAAUGAUGACUACAUAUCAUUAUUAUAUAUCGUUACAUAUUUUGUAACCAAAAGAGGCGACGCAUAAGAAGAGUACCACUCACAGAUAUGAAAUAAUUUUGUGUAAAUAGCAUGAUUUUACUUUUCUUUAUUAUUAUGGUGAAAUAAGAUGCACGAGAAAAAUUAUAACCACACCAUGUCACCAUAAAAAGUGUACGUUGUUAUAGUAAAAACCCUUUUUUCUGUUAAAGAAUUAUAGUAAAAACGCCCAUCGUAUCUAUGUUGACAAACAUAUUUGUUAAAUUAAUAAGCAAGUACCUUCUAGUUCUUUUCUAACAUUUAAUAGCUUUUUUUUUCCUUUUUUUUUGUACAACAGAUUUAGUAGCUUUUCUAGUUUUACAAUUUAAUAACUUUAUUUGUGAAAUUAACUCGUUCCUUCACGAAUGAUAAUGCAUUUGACAACUUUUUGUUUCAGUUUCCACUAUCUAGGGUUAAUUUACUUUAUCCAUAUUCCGUACGAGAUGAGUAAGAAGAAGAUAUUAAGAGGAGGCAGUGCACGUCAUGCUUAUUUUUCAAACGCUGCUGACACAAAUACAUACUAAAGCUUAAUACUUUUUAUUUUUAUAACCAAACUAGCUCCUUGGUCGAAACUCAAUAUUGGUUAUAUAAUUUGACCAACUGAUCUUAGUGGCAUAUAUUUAAAAUUAACGUAGCGGAAAUUUUUAAAAGACAAAGUAGUGAUACAUUUGAAAAUAUAGGAUAACUAAGAUAGUCUUCUGAGAAAAAAAAAAAAAAAAUAGUCUUCUGAGAAAAAAAAAUAAAAAAAAUAGUCUUCUGAGAAUUUUUGAACAUACUUAACGUAGAAACCCUAAAAGUCUUCACUAAAAUAGGAUCAUAAAAUCUAGAUAAUAUGCAAAUAAUGAGGUUUCAAAAGAUAUAAAAAAUUUUAGUUACUUUUAAAAUGAGGUUUCAAAAGUCUAUCACCGAUGGUCUCAACUCAACACACAUGACCAUGGAUUUUCUGAUAUGUUUGAUGAUGAUACCACAAAUAAUGUGAUGCUAAAAUAAUUUUACUCUUUUUGAGUGUGUUGUCUCAUGUUGUAUUUUUUUUAAUAAAUUCAAAAGUUCAGGAAAUCCUAAAUAUCUGAUUCUUUUUAUCGGUCAAGAACAAAUAAAACCACUUAUUUACCUCCUUAUUUCUUUGUUCUCCAAAAUCUUCAACAUUUUGUGCCCAAAUAAAACGUUUUUAAAAAUAAUUUUUUAUUUGAAAAUAUCAUAUUUUAUUUUGAUCAUAUGAGUUAGGUAAGAACGCGUAGAUGCGGGAAAGUUUAUGAAGUCGAAUAAAAUCAAAUCCUCGUACAGUACUAAUAUUCCAUACAGAUUAGAGAAUUUAUCGACUUUUUAGGUAGGCUUCUGUGUUUUUACCGUCAACAGCUAGAACCUAUAUAUGAUUGUCAAUAUAAAUAAAAAUAUUAACAUCAAAGUUACCAAUAGACAUAAUUCAUGCAGCGACAUGCCACAAGAAGAAAUCCCACUCUCAUUUUAGCCUUUAUGUUAGUUACUUAGAUAAACAUAUUGACAUCAAAGUUAUAAUGCAUUUUAAUACUCUAGUUCUUGAUAACCUAACCUAAUGAAAGAAAAAAGCAAAAACAAAACAUGAACCAAUUAUUGUCGCAUACAAAUGCAACUUUAAAGACAUACUCAUAUGUUAUUCCAUUCGACAACACAACAAACAUGAACCAAUUAUUAUAGUUUAUAAGAUUUCUUUUUGUCGCGAGGCAACUACUCUACCUUAGCUAUUUUAAGUUUUUAACUGAAGAGUCGAAUUCUAAAUUUCUAAUUUGACGGAGGUAGAAAAUUUUGUUAACAGGGUCAAAAUAAAUUAUUUAUAUUAAAUAAUAUAUAUAAUUGUUUAUGAUUUGUUGAAGAUGACUCAAAAGAAUUGACCCUCCUAAUUAAGCACCAUGUACCUCCGCCCCUGGGAUACCACAUUGCUCUGAAUGUAAUACGCUAGGUUCAAAGAAAUAUGUUAAUUGUUAAUGUAUGUAUGAAAUCAGAAAAGUAAUGAAUGGGAUCUAAAUAAUAGACAUAUGUUAAUUGUUAAGUUUUUGCUUAUCUAACUGUGUAGAUCGAUUCUCUAGAUCAUUUUAGAUCUUUACUCUUCUUCAAGACUUUCCUAAUUCUUCUCCAAGGCUCUGGAUCCUUCUAAAACAUUCUGAAAUAGUACAAUCAAAGAAUGCUUAGAAAUGUCUAAGUGUUGGUAGGUAACCUCUCAGGCUCAGCCCAUACUCCCUUGUAUAUUAAUGGACGGAUUGGGCUGUUACAAGGUACUCUUUUAAGAAACCUUGAAUCUUCUUUUCUUUUUCUCCAAAUCAUCGGUAGGAAUUGAAAAAAACCCGGUCAUUUGAAAUUAUUAUGAUGCGUGACAUAGCUGAUGUCUAGUGAUUUUGGUUGUUUUAAAGCCUAUUUUCUCUUAGUUUUCAUUGCUUUGCAUUCAUAUUUUGGCAUAUAGUGUUGCAUUUGCAUUUGCAUUUGGUUUUCUUAGGUACAUGAAUGGAGCUUGGAGUUUUGGGAAUAAAUAGAGCAAAAAGGAAGCUAAAAGAAGGCAACUUGAGUAAUGAAGAUCAAAGAGGGAUCAAGAGGUGAAAGGAGAUGUCAAGAUGUGGUGAAAAAAGAUGAUUGAAGAAGAGAAGAGGAAGCAAUAUACCACCUGGUCGAUUCCCUGGUCGAUUGACAUGGAUCAGAGCUACGGACAAGACACCAAUCGAUCAAGCAAUCGACCGAUUGCCUCAGGACAAACCAAUCGACCACCUGGUCGAUUCCCUGGUCGAUUGACAUAGACCAGAGCUACGGACAACAUUUCAAUCGAUUACUUGAUCGAUCGAUUGCUCUACCCAAUAGACCAAGUGGUCGAUUGAGUGGUCGAUUGGGUGCCUAAACCGGGUCAAAACCCGGUUUGUUCCGGGUUGACCCGGUUCGUUUUUCCUUUUCUAUAUAUACUUUUAACCUAGUUUUAGAUUGUCUUAUGCUUUGUUUAGAGAUCAAAAACUUCUCUUAAGGUUUCUAUCUAAGUUUUUGUAUGAAUCUUUGGUUCUUAAGCUUAAAUAUCAAGUACUUCUUUUAAAUUCUCUUAUCUACCUUCUCUAAUUAUGAUUUCACAAAGAUCAAACUUAUUGCUUUGUGUAAUCAUGAUCAUGAGUGAGUAGUCAUUUAGAGUUCUUGGGUUAAGGUAGAUUAGGAUGGUUUAGUUGUUAGGUUAUGGAGUUUAGGGCUAGAUUACUUAAGAUCCUUACUUAUUGGUUGUUUAUAACGCUAGAUUAGCCUUGAUCAUGUUGAUUUAGACUUUAGGGAUUUCAUGCCCGGAAGGUGUUCGAUGAAAUUCCCGAACCAAAACCUUUAAGUGCUUUACAUUCCUUACCUUUGGAAAUUGUUGACUAGGGUGUUAAGUGGCUAGAUAGACUUGUUUAUAAUGCUUGUUAGUCAAUUGAUUGCCUUUGGAAGAAGUUGAUGAUUAAUUGAUUAGUAAAUGGACUAAUGUCAUGGAAAUGUGUUAGUGUUGCUUAGUGUUCUAUGGCCUAGGGAUCAUUGCUUAUUAGAAGUUGUUUGAAGCUCCAUAAUCCACUUCUUAAUCAUUCCUAAUCAAUUUCCUUUAACCCGAGAAUUCGCCUUUAGUUAUCGUUUAGUAACUCGUUAAUUUUCCGCUUUGUUUACUUUCGAAACUUGUUAGUCUUUUGCAUUUUGCUUUCAUUUGUUUUGUUUUGCAUUGUUUGAUUGUUAUUUACUUUGUUAGUCAUGUUUACAAAACCAAAUCAUUUUAUUAGCCUAGAUUAAGCUUUUGCGUGUAUUCCUAGUGAGUUGAUCAAUUGCAAAUUGUGGUUCGAUAUUUAAUUGAGUAAAAGUACUACAUCAAUAGCCCCUUUGUUUUUGUCUUUGUCUUUCUUGUAGUUGUCUUUAAGAUCCUUUGUGUACUAAUAUCUUGUAUUUUUGUUGGUUUUAUAGCUUCAUUUCUCUCAAUUUUCCAUUAUUUUGCAUUAAUGUUUAGGUCAUUAGAUGCAAAUUUGCAUUGCAUUUCUUAUUUUUAGGUUCUUGGAGUGGAGCAUAGAGUUUUGGAAGCAAAUGGAGCAAAGUGGAGCUAAAAGAAGUGAAGACUCGAAGAAUCAAGAAGAUCAUGAAAGCAAUCGACCAGUUGAUUUUCCGCUUUGUUUAAUAUUUGAAUCUUAGUAGUCUCUUACUUAUAUUUGAUUAAAAAAAAAAUAAUAAAUAAAAAAAAAAACCAAUAUCCUCCAUCUUAGAUUAAAUGAUAGCAUGUCUCUCCUUGUCUAUAGCGUAUUCAUCUUUACGAUCAUCUUAAAGAUGUUCCUUUUGACCUUAUUCAUCAACAAGGGCUUACUCAUAUUGCAGGUCUUAUAGAGGAACCAAAAGAAACUGAUGAUUGGAUAAUUACCUUACCAGCUCAUGUCAUGGUUAAAUUGGACUCCUCAAAGAAUCUUACCAUGUCCUUGAAAUUCUAAGAUCAAAUGGGUCUGUCUCUACAGUUAACGUUAAGUACCCUUGGGUUCCCCCGAUUUGUUCUUAUUGUAAUGAAGUCGGGCGUAUGGUGAAAAACUCUCUUGGCACCUCCUCCAGUCCCAAAAAACUCCAUCUGCAUUAACUGUGAAUUAUGUGGUUAUUUCAGAGGUUCUAAAGUUCUAAGGCAGGGAGACCCUUUGUCGCCAUAUCUGUUUGUUCUAUCUAUGGGAGGAUUCUCUCAGAUGUUAUCAAAAAGCUACAACAAUAAUCAGAUUGGUGCUCACCCUAACGCUUCUAAUCCGCAAGUCUCUCACUUGGCCUUCGCUGAUGACAUCAUGGUCUUCUUUGACGACAAGAAAAACUCUUUGUUGAAUAUUGCAGAGGUUCUUCAGGAAUUCUCCAUUGUUUCUGGUUUGUCUAUGAAUAAAAGCAAAACUGAUUUGUUCAUUGUGGAAUGAACCAAACUGAAACCUCUCAGAUCGCCUCUCUUGGUUUCAGAAUUGGUUCACUGCCCAUAAGAUAUCUUGGUCUUCCUUUAAUGCACAGGAAGCUACAGAUUGUGGACUACAGGCCAUUGCUUGAGAAGAUAACAAGUCGUUUCACCUCUUGAUCCUCUCGUGCUCUGUCCUAUGUUGGAAGGAAGCAGUUGAUAUCCUCCGUCAUCUACGGGACUAUUAAUUUCUCGCUCUCUGCUUUCAUUAUCCCUAAAGGUUGCAUUAAAAAGAUCGAAAGUUUGUGUUCUAAUUUUCUUUGGAGUGGUGAUGUGAACAAGAAGGAUUGGUUGCGUAAUAACAAGAUAAAGGAUGGAAUUUUCUGGUGCGUUGAUGUUUAAAACCAGACCUCUUGGACUUGGAAAUCAAUUCGAACAUGCGGCCUAUUGCUAUUAAUUUCCUUAGAUGCAUUAUGGGAAAUGGUAAUCAGCUCAGUUUUUGGUAUGAUUGGUGGACUCCCUUAGGUCCUUUGAUUGAUUUUCUAGGCCCCUCUGGCCCAGCUCAGACUGGAAUUCCUCUUCUUGGAAAAGUUGCUCAUGCUUCCUCUCCCACAUGAUGGGUUCUCAGGCCCGCAAGAUCAAGUCAAGCUGAAACUCUCCACAUCCAUCUCACCACGGUACAACCUCCCUCUCUAUGCUCUGAUCAGGAUUCAUUUUUGUUGUUGAUUGGUUCGGAUGAGCUAGAAAGCUUCUCUACUAGGAAAACAUGGGAGGUUCUAAGGCAAAGAUCAGAGCCUCUUCGUUGGACUGAUCAAGUUUGGUUUAAAGGUGCCAUUCCGAGACAUGCAUUUAUGAUGUGGUUAAUGCAUCUAGACAGACUUCCAACUCGUUGUAGACUAACAAGUUGGGGGUUGCAAAUCGAUAUGAGCUGCUCCCUUUGUGGUUUAUUACCGGAGAUGAGAGAUCACAUCUCUCUUCAUUGCGAAGUUAGCGAGAGUAUUUGGUUAGAGGUUAAUAGACGUCUCGGUUAUAACCCGUUCAUAUUUCACACGUGGGACGCGUUUUCAGCUUGGUUGGAUGCGAAGGACAACAUUUCUCCUCGAUGCCUCUGUAGACUGGUUGCUCAAGCUACUCUUUAUGCAACUAAACAAUAGAUACCACAACAACAUUUCUACCGACGCUCAUAUCUUGCUCAAGCGAAUCGAUCGUCAAAUUAGAGAUGCAGUUCUGGCGAAGAAGAAGCGUAAACAUUUCAAAGACUUUAUGCAACUUUGGCUAAAGUGACUAGAGUUCUCUACUCAUAUUUCCUGUUAGUUCCUUCCUUGUUUUUCCUCUUUUUUUUGGCAAGGAAUGAUCUUCUGUGUUAAGCUUUUGUAACUUCUACAAACCUUCAUUUUAUAUGAAAUUCACAUAUUUAUCAAAAAAAAAAAAAAAAAAAACCCCACAACACCCAUCUUCUUAUCAGUCAAAAAGUCAUGCUACAAAGUGAGUAAAAAUAUCCUUCUGAUGCUUCUGUUUCCACUACUACUCCUCCAACUUCCUCGUCUCAUUCAUACCAGGCUGCUUCUACACAUGUAAUCACCUCUAUUUUUUGUGAAACUCCAGCUUUGACUUCCAAGACAAAUUGAAAAAAAUAUUGAGUUAGGUCCUGAUUCUCGACAGACUCUGCAUGUUUGGUUGUCUUGCCUAUUACAUGUAUCACCCCUGAACCGUCCUAGGACUAAGGACCAACCGAAAGCGUUAUGUUUGACCCCAUAACUGACUCGACCGAGUAACCAAAACACAUCUAGUACCAAGGUCAGUCCAUCCGCGGGUAUCGUUCCUCACGAACAACACGGCCUAAAGCUUUUCCACCCGUACAAUGUCCCCAAGUUUUGCUAGUCCAAACAAGACUAAUAUCAAACAUAAGACAAGGCUUUAUAUAGGAGUUGAGAAACCACGUACAUACCACAAAAAAUUGAAAAUCUGGUCAUCGUGGAAGAGAUCCAAACAUGAACCGAAGAAUUUUUGUAGGAAGAUCAACAAAUCUUCUCGAUUCAACAGAGUUGUUAACUAGAACAAGCAUCAAUGAAGAAUCUGAAUCCAUUGAAACAAACGCAUCAACGAAAUUGCAAACAUCGGUGGGUUAACCAAAAAACGAUUGAAUCGACGGAAUAAUCGAUCAAUCAAAGAACAAAUCUGAUUUUAAUCAGUGAAAAAAAAACGGAAAUGUGGCAAAAUCGAACUCAAAUCUUCGAAAUUGUUUGUUUGACGUCGUAAUCUUCGAACGGAAACUGUCACAUUAAAUGGAAUCAAGAUUUGUAAUGUGUUUUUGCGUCCAUGUCAACAUGUGAAAGGGUUUUUGGAGAUGAUCACUAUUUAACAAUUUUAAAGAAGGUUUGGAUCCUCAUAGAUGAUUCAAAUUUCAAACCCAAUCAAAACAAAAACAAAAUGGUUUAAGAUAAAUCUUUUCUCACGUGUCACGUCUUUUUGCUUAGUACAAAUUUCUUAAAAACACACUUGAUUAAACAUCAAAAAUGACAAAAACUAACGCAACAAUACAAAACCUAACAUAAUGAAAACAUAAAGCGACCAAACAAAAUUCAAACUAAAACUAAACUCGAACUCAAAAAGGGUACAUAAACCCAAAUGUUUGAAUCGAAACUGGGCUUAACAAUCAAUGGCUUGGGCCAACACAGAAAAAAAAAUCAGGUGUACUACUGCUUUCUCUCAUGUGAACCAUGUGAAAGUUCCUCAUAAGAUAAGGAAUGUGCAGAUCUGGCAAUGAGGUACUAGUUAGGUAAGAAUUUUCAUGCAUUUGGUGUCUAUAUUAAAGUAAUUGGCGUUUACAAUGUAUGACAUUUUCUAAAAGAAUUUUAAUUCUAAUCAAAUUUUUCAGUUUAGAAUUGAUAAAUUGUUAGUUACUAAUAUCAUGGAAAGGUUAGCACUCGAUACACAUGUUCAUAUUACUUUUUAAGAUUUAUGUUUCUUAUAUAGGUUACGAGGAAAUAGUUUAAAAUAUAUCAAUCGUAGCAAAAUUGUUAUUAUCAUCAAAUGAUUGGGUGUAUUCCAGUUUUUCAUGAUAGUGUCUUUAACUUUUCAUAUUAUUACAAUUUUUCUUUCGUAACGAAUUCAAUUUACAUUUUAAUAAUACUUUUUAUUUGUGAAAGAUAGUUACCAAUUUCGUUUGAAGUGUUUUUAAGUUUGAACACAAACAAUUGAAAAAAAACACACACACGUUUGGACUUUUAAUGGCUCAUUUGUGCAUUUUACUUUAGGUUUCCUAUUUAUUCACAAAGUAUACGAUUUAACUUCUUUUUUUUUUUUUGGCACAAACAUUUGUUUUUUCUGUCAUGCACAAAACACAUCGCAUUCCACGUUGCCACAGAUUUGUUGACUACGUUUUUUCUUUUUGCCAAUGAACAACAUUCGAUGUUAUCGUUAAGCCUAACCGUUAGUCUGUUAUACCCAAAUCUAACGAACGUGUAAGGAUCUCCAAUCAUGUUUUCUUAUAUUAAAAUUUUUCAUUUUCUAGUUUUGUAUGUUUACUACUUGGUUGCUAGAGAACGGGAUAAUAGGUAACAUCACUUUGGUUAUCAUAAAAGUCGUCGUAUUUGGUUAGUUUUGUUUGCACUAGUUCAACAGUUAGUUGAUUUAUGAUGUUUGGUCGGUCCCAGUUUCAAGAAUUAGCUGUAACAAGAAAAAAUUAUUAAACAAAAUUAAAGGUAAGAAAAGGCAUUAUUUAUGUAAUUUUUUCCGUGUCAUUUAUAAUAUACCCAAAAAAAUAAUGCUGUGGAGUUAUGGACGGCAGAGCGAGCCGACCAACUAUUGCACUCAUCAACAGUGUACCAAACCCUUACUAAAUUAUAGAAACAAAUAAAAUUAUGCUUUUAGUGGAAGAUCAACCAUAUGAUCUAGAAAACAGAUUUAGAAUUUGAUCUAUGCUCUAUAUAAUUAUUAUGCUGAUAUUUGUUUUAAUAGUUAUUCCAAAAAACAUAUUGUAAUGUAAUGUAUGAAGAGGAUUACUUACAAAAGACAACUUUUUUCAUUUGCUUAAAAAGGAUAUAUGCUUCUAAUUUAAUCUAUUGUUUAACAGUUUAAAUAGAAUUAGAAUCCUAAUUUUCAAAAUUGUUUUCAUUAUAUAUUAAUAAAUAACUCUUGUGCGGCAAAAUUUAAAUCACAGGUCAUUUUGUAUUUACAUUAUUUCUAAUAAAAUAGUUUAAUAAGAGUGAAAAUUAAGAACAAUAUUUUAUACAUUUUCCUGAAAUAUUCAAUAAAAUGUAAAUAAGUCAAAAUAUUAACUUUUAUUUUUUAGUGAUAAAACCUUUUGCUCUUAAUGAAACACAAUGAAUGAAAAUAGUAUAAAAAUAUAAAACCAAUAGUUCAUUACAAUAUCCAUAAAUCAUAACCAAGUCUGGGAAAAUCAAUGUGACUACUUGAAGUUUUGUUCCCAUAGAGUGUAACGUAUAUUACUGUAAAAAAAAAAAAAAAAAACUGUAACGUAUAUUUCAAUAUGGGUUAUAAUAUUUGUUUCCCACAUAAAUUGAAUUUUCCUACCAAAGUCGUAGAGCGCAAUUUAUAUAUAAAAUCCUUUAUUCAUAAUUUCAUAGGCUGGCGCGCAUGCUUCUCUUAGUUAAGUCAUAAGUAACACCAACAAGAAAAAUGGUACACCAAAUUCCAUCAUAUUAUUCUCACAAAGUCAAGGUUUUAGACAUUAAAUUUUUAAUUUUUAUAUCAAUAUGAUGGAAAGAAAAAAGCAUGCUUGUUGGUGUAGUGUAGGUGUGUGGAAAAAACAACACAUAUAGACAAUGUUUGAUUGGUUCGAUGUUGGCCGUAGUAUGUCCCAUCUUUUUUUCUCUUAAGAUGUGACAAUGGUGUGUUUAAUGUAAAUUUUCUUAAUUGCAUCGCUGGUUUUAAUUUUAAUUUUGAAAAGAAACACGAAUAUUUGGUGAUCAAUAUUAACCUAUACAGUAGAACUAUAGAAGUAAGACGUCUAACCACUUAAAGUAAUUAAAUCACAACUCCAAUAAUUCGUAUGGAUUUUGAAUUCUCCACAUCCAAAAUAAUGAAUUUAAAAUCAGAUACAGUAUAUCAUUCAUUAUAAAACUUUGUCAUACAUAAAUGACAUGUUUUUUAGUUUCUAUUCUAACUUUGUCAUACAUAAAUGACAUGUUUUUUAGUUUCUAUUCUUGGAGGACCUCAAAUAUACUAUAACAAGAAAAAAUGCGUUUAAAUUAACGUACAAGAAACAUUGCGUUUAUGGUACACGAUUUUAUAACAAAUUAAUAUAUGUUCGAAUGAAAAAGAGUAGACUAAAUUGUCAACUCUGUAGUCCCCACUACAAAUGAGACAUUGAUUGAGAUCCAUCGCCACCUUCUUGUCUCCUUAAAAUCUAUAUGUAAACAGUAUUAACUAUUUACUUGAUGUAAUGUAGAUUCUUUUAUAGCGAGAACUCUCCUAUUUCUGUUUGAUUUUGGGAGUGUUUGGUAUUGUAGUCCUAGAGCAUUAUUAUUCAAGGGCUUUUAAUAGUACUUUUUAAAAAUAUUUAAAUAAUAUAUUUUUUUUCACCUCUUAACAUUUUUUUUGUUCCACCUCUUAACAUUUUUUUUUGUUCCUAAACUAAGAAACACUUUUUAGUUUAAAGGCACAUUUGAAAAUAAAUAUAAUCAAUUAAAUACUAACAUAAUCUUAAGAUUUUUUUAAGAAUCUAUCGUUAAGGCUGCUUUUAGACCAUCUUUAUUGAGAGAUGCUUAACUUGGUUCUUAGCUAAAAAGAGAUUAAAAUUAAAUAUGUAAUUGAUGAUUUUGCUAAGGAAUGACUCUUAGCUAAGAACCAAAAAUUGGGCUAAGAACCAAAAUUAAGCACCUCCCAAUAAUAUUGCUCUUAUACUCUUAUAUAAUUAAUUAUUGCAGUGUUACUUGAUAUAAGUCUUGUUUGGAUUUAGUUUAGGCAAAAUAAAUUAAACAACGACUUAUUAGGAUUUCUAGGUUUGGUUUUAGUCACAAAAUAAUUAUCAGAAAUACUAUGAGUGGACAAAAGACAAAUACUCGUUAUUUUAGUGAUAAUUGAUAUUUGACAUGCUUUGUACGAAUAAUAAAAAUUAUGUUAUAAAAUUUUAUGUAUAUGUUAUAAACCCUACUUGGUUUGUUAUAUACAAGUGCUCGUAAUUUUAUGUAUUUGCUAAAAAAUUGUUUACUUGCAAAUUACCUUCCCCUUUGCCCCAUCAUAUUACUGAUCUUGUUGUAACAAUUCUUGUAGUGGAUCACUAUUUUUGUUGCUGUUACUGUUUGAAACUUUAGGGUGCAAUCGAUUGGUGAACAUCUAUCUAUAGAGUGCUUGAGAGGAGGAAUGAGAGUGAAAAAAGGUGAUAAAUAGAGUAAAACUAAUAAGUUCUUUGUAGUACUAGUACACUAGUACUUGUAUAUAGAGUUUUUUUUUUUUUUUUUCAUCCGAAAUUAAUUAAAACUCAAAAGAGCCACUCAUGAAGAAUGUUAUUUACAUAAGUGAUAUGAAGCGGUUCUGUACGAACUUUUCGUGCUAGAUUAUCCGCCUUAACAAAUUUCCUAAUACUUGUAUAUUGAGUCGAUAAUAAAUUUCCGUAGUAGUUGUAUAUUGAGUUGAUAAUAAAUUUCCUAUUUUUCUCCCCUUUCAUGCUUUUUUUUUUUACUGAAUUUUUUUAUCCACCAUUUAUUUUUACUCCAACCGACACAACUAAUCAGAUACUUCUAAUUUUUAACUAAGAAUAAAUGAAACUAUAUAUAUAUAUACAUACACACAUGUAGGUGUGUGUAUAAAAGACAAAAUGUAAAUGUUGAUUUGGUGUAUGAUAUGUCUUAUUCAUAAGUCUCAAUGAAGACAGUCCUUAAUCUACGGUUAGGUGGUGGCUGCUCACCUUCCUCUAUUCCUUUUAUUUUUCUAUCUUCUUUCACAUCCAUCUUUCUCUUUAAUUAAGACUAUCUCACACAUCUGUUUUUUUUUUUCUUAAAAGAAAUAUAUACUUUGAUCGACAGACCAAUAGUUCUAACUCUAGUUUAUGAUAAUCUAAAAAAAUUACUAGUCCAAGAAGACCAGGCCAAUUAUCUUUAGUUUGGUUACUAUCUAAUUGGAUGAUUCAUAAACUAGUGACGCGCCAUAUCCUUACAUUUCUUUAGAAUGUUAAUUUAUACAUAACAUUAAAUAAUGAAUAUUAAUUUCACAUACUAUCGUUUUCGUAUUAAGUGUUUAACAUAAUCAUAAUUGAAUUUAGUGGAGAUACUAAAACUAAGACCAAAAACACAGUAGAAAGAACAGAGGCAAAUAAAAUCAUACAAAAGGUCAACUAUAAAAAAAAAUUAAGAAAUGUAAUAUAAACUAAUUUAGUUAAUUUAUUAAAUAAGGGCUCAUACGAGAAAUAAAUUAUUUCAAAACAAUAAUCUUACGUGAUAUCAGUAAACAAAAAGUUUUUAAAUAAAUUGUAGAGAGGACAGGGAGGUAAAUAAAUAAAGGUCAAAUAUAAUUUCAAAAAAAAAGAAUUAAAGUUGUCAAAAUUGUAAUUUAAAAUUAAAUUAGGUAAAUAAAAUCAGUCCCCACAAACACAUAAAAAAACUCCAUUAAAGACCAAUAUAAGAGAGAGUACAUGAGAGUCCAAACUUCAUUCAAUUCAAGUCUCAGUUCCAAGAAUAAAAACAAAGAUUUUGUAUAUUCAUUUAAAGAGAUGAAGUCAAUCUUAGCCAACACUUCUCUCGAUUCUUCAUUCUCUCUCUCAAAACGUUACUUCAAUUGGAAGAAGAAGAAAGUUCAAGAAGACGACGACGAGGAAGAGGAAGAAGAAGAAGACGAUUACAACAAAAACGAAGAGAAAAUCUUGACCCGUUUCAAUUUCUCCUCUGACCCGACCCGACCGGAUCAAUUCAAUACUCAACACAUAAUGAAGAAAAAAAAGAAAAAGACUAUCGAAAAGAUCCGUUACGCUCUCGGGUUCUCUAACUCGGGUCUGGGUUUCCGGGUCGUGGGUACUUUAUUCGGUAACCGUCGUGGACACGUGUACUUUGCCGUUCAAGAUGACCCGACCCGUUUACCCGCGGUGUUGAUCCAGUUACCAACUCCAACGAGCGUUCUCGUCCGUGAGAUGGCUUCGGGGCUAGUGAGAAUCGCGCUCGAAACGGCGGCGUAUAAGACGGAUUCGAAGAAGAAGCUUUUAGAAGAGUCCACGUGGAGAACGUAUUGUAACGGUAAAAAAUGUGGUUACGCGGCGAGGAAAGAGUGUGGAGAAGCGGAGUGGAAGGUGUUGAAGGCGGUUGGGCCCAUAACAAUGGGUGCUGGAGUUUUACCGGCGGCGACGACGGUGGAUGAAGAAGGGAAUGGAGCGGUUGGGUCCGAAAAAGGUGAGCUCAUGUAUAUGAGAGCCCGGUUCGAGCGGGUUAUCGGGUCGAGAGAUUCGGAGGCGUUUUAUAUGAUGAAUCCUGAUGUGUCAAGUGGUGGACCUGAGCUUAGUGUGUAUUUUCUAAGGGUUUAAGUGGAAAAUGAUAAGAUUAGUAUAUGAUUAAGAAGGUAUUAUUUGACCAUUUUAAGAAUGUGUUUUGAUUUUGGGAUUUUGUCUAAAUGAUGUUCAACGUGUAAUAUUGGAAUUAUCUUAAUGAUGUUCCAAAAGAUUAGUGAUCAAAAAGUGAAUGCUUUAUUUAGAAGCAAUGUAUUAUGAUGAAUCCAUAUUUCUUUAACUUUAUCUUUGUGAUAAUAUUGGAAUUAUUAUCUUAAUGCAAUUAUGCAAAUGUGGUUUACUUUUUAACUGUUACUCUUCUUUGAGUUAGCAUUUUAGAGGAUGGCGGAACUCUAUUGAAUUCUCAUGCAUAAUGAUAAAAUCGUUAAAUAAAUUUUAUGAAAUUAGAAUAGCCAACAGGCGAAAGUGUUAGUAUAUGCUUAAACUCAUUGAUUGGAAAAAAAAAAUGUAAUAGGAUCGGCGUUUGGUAUAACUUAAUUAACGAAAAUGUAUAGAAGCUCGAACUUUCAUUAAUGACUCCCACAAACGAAGUUUAGAGACCUCAUCUAUGUCAGCAUGCAACACCAAACUUACUCUCGAGUCGAGAGUCUCCACCAUCAAGCCCCGUGUAAAUAACAGUACAAGACACUAUGAUACUAGUCGUAGUAAACAACCUAAAAAAAAAGUUUCUUGCUUAUUUGGAUUCACCCCUAAAACCUUAUUUAAAAGAAAAACUCACCCCGAAGGAUCAACAAUCGAACUUGUACCAAUGAUUGUUGAUUUUUUUUGUCCCAGAUGCAAUCUCCUUGUUUGCAAUCUCGGCAGAGUAACUCCCAUGGAUCACAUUCCUGAUCUUGUCAAUACCAAAUUCCCCACGGAUGGUUGCAUACUCGCAGUCUGAUGGUCUUGUGGGUCCAAUCAUCUCUCUCACUGUCUCCACAACAUUCUCCCCCUCCCAUAUCAUUGCAACAACAGGCCCGGACGACACAAUGUAAUCAACCAGACGCCCGAAUACGUGCUCGCCAGACAGCUCCUCGUAGUGCUUCAACACUCAUCAUCUUCAUGCCUGUACAUCCCCACUCAGUUGACUCAAUCAAAUCACUCAAGCAAGUUUGGAAUCAAUUAUACCCUUCAAAGUGAAACGCUUCUCUUCAAACCUUCUGAUAAUUUCAGGCAUCUGAAACAUAUAUGUAAUCUUUGUCAAGCAAAGCAAAGAACAACGCAAAAUAACCGAAACACAUGAGGACCAAUGGGAAACGUACUAGUCGCCUCUGGACACCGUCGGGUUUGAUCAUGACGAAAGUUUUCUCCAUUUUGGAUGCUUUCCUUCUUCUUCUUUUUUUCCGGCAUUUUCUUUGAUUAGGAGGAGGCGGCCAAUUGUUGGUCUUUCUGAUUUUUUAUAUCUCCUCCUCUCUCUCGUCUUGUCUCACCUUGGCAAGAAGCACGUUCACCCUCCCGCUUAAUACGACUUGUAAAUAUAGAUUCACUAAGAAGAGAGAUCAAAAACUUACUUAGACGACCAAAUUAACUACUUAGAUUUAUUUUAUUUAAGUGAAAAUUAACAACGAAAUUAAAGAGACCAAAAGUCAAUAUCACACUUGAGAAAACGGAAACAAAUCAUUCACCAAAUCAUAUAUGGAAAAGGAAAAAGAAAAACGAAACGAAACACAAAGCCAGGUUUUUUUUUAAAAAACUAGGGUUUUGGAUCUUCUGUUUUUGAAUCAGCCCCAAAAGUCCAAGCGUUCUCCUUGCGAAUCGCUUCUUCUUCUUCAGGUGUGAAAUCAUUCUCAAUGUUAAAGAUUGUUGAAUGAAAUAUAGAAGAGUCGAUGAAUGUGUUCCCUUUAUUUAUAGAACCCAAAGAGUCGGUCGAUUGUAUUUUCCUUUUCGCAAUUAGAAUUGGGUUUCCUAUUUUCACAAGGAAAUAAGGAAAAUAAACGCAAAUCCUAAUUUAACAAGGGUUUAAUGAAAGAUAUAUUUCUAGAAACUUUUUUAGCAAUUGGUAAAAAACAAUACUCCUGUUUUUUAUUUAUUUUUGAAUGAAUGUAAAAUUUAUUCAACCAAAAAAACGUUUUUACAAUGAAUGCAAUCUUUAAUCGAAAGUUAUUUUGAAAGGAAUUAAAAGGAAUAAUAGAAUGUUAGUCUCUGGACUCAAACCUGUUUGUUUCUUAUUUAAGCAGAGAAAAAAGUGUUUUAUAAACGUGGAAAUUUUGUAUUUUCGAUGCAAAUUAUUUAAAGUAUUUUUUUUUCUAUAGAGACAAUCUAACAAGUUUAUUGUAUAAAAUUCUAUCAAAUCUUCCAGUGUUGCUGCUCUCUAACAAAGCGCUCUGCACAAGUUCCUGCAACAUCCUCACACAUUCUUUAAUUCAAUUCACAAAUUCUAUUUUUUUAAGAAAAGAAUGAUGACAAAACUUAGAGAAGAAAUCUAUUUUUUGCCUAGACUUCACGGUGAGAUAGAAACUUUCCCAGGCUAUAUAGCUUGGUUAUUCUCCACUCCAUCAAAAUUGUUUUAAUUUUUUUAUUUGUGUCAAUGGUUGUAUUUGGAACUUUUUUGUACUUUGUAAACUUCUGAUGAUAUAAUAGAUUUGAUUUGCCAAAAAAAAAAAACUUUCCAAGGAUGUGAAUGGUUACUCUCAUAUCUUCAACCUCUCAGAAAAAUACAAAACAGUACUUCAAAUUCAUUCUCAAGAGACUAUGAGAUGACUUUUUUUUUUUUUUUUUUCCUGAAUACUAGGAGGUUCUGAGGCAAAAUCCAUAAUCUCUCUAAACCCGAAACCACAAUAGAUGACUUAUUAUGUCCAAGACAAAUUAGUCUCCGUGUUUGCUUGUCCUUUAUGCAUACUUCGUUAGCAUCAAACUAAUCCUUUACUCCUCGAAUACAAUGGGAUUUUACACCUGGCGAAUCUUUAACUCUACCUCCUCUUAUUACCCUAACAUAGCAUGAGGCAAACAAACAAAGAUCAGCCCCACAAACAAGUGUACUUCGCCGUACAAGAUGACCUGACCCGUUUAUCCGCGGUGUUGAUCCAGUUACCAACUCCAACGAGCGUGUCGGUGAGAUGGCUUCGGGGCUAGUGAGAAUCGCGCUCGAAAUGGCGGCAUUUAAGACGGAUUCGAAGAAGAAGCGUCCACGUGGAGAACGUAUUGUAACGGUAAAAAAUGUGGUUAUGCGGCGAGGAAAGAGUGUCGAGAAGCGGAGUGGAAGGUGUUGAAGGCGGUUGGGCCCAUAAGAAUGGGUGUUGGAGGUUUACCGGUGGCAACGACGGUGGAUGAAGAAGGGAAUGGAGCGGUUGGGUCCGGAAAAGGUGAGCUCAUGUAUAUGAGAGCCCGGUUCGAGCGGGUUAUCGGGUCGAGAGACUUGGAGGCGUUUUAUAUCAUGAAUCCUGAUGUGUCAAGUGGUGGACCUAAGCAUAGUGUGUAUUUUCUAAGGGUUUAAGGGGACAAAAAAUUAAGAUUAGUAGUAAUAUGAUUAAGAAGGUAAUAUUUGAUCGUUUUAAAAAUGUGUUUCGAUUUUGGCCUUUUGUUUAAAUGAUGUUCAACGUGUAAUAUUGGAAUUAUCUUUAACGAUGUUCCAAAAGAUUAGUGAUCAAAAAGUGAAAUUGUUAUCUAGAAGCAAUGUAUUAUAUGAUGAAUCCUUUUUUUGUUGAUGUCUUGAAGCUGUGAUGUUUGCUUUGUUUCAUUGACGAAUAGAGGCGGCGGUUUGGUCUAGGUGGCUUCGUUAUCAUGUGGGAGAUGUUCAUGUAGCUUGCGAUAGGGAUGGUGGCUGGAGGCCGCUUUUCUGGCUGCCUGUAGAUGCUCCUGUGCCGCCAGGUGUGUGACUAAGUCUACUACAACCAUCCUGUUUUUGUGUUAGUCUUCAGAGAAGAUGUAGACGCCCUAUCUUGAGGUUUGAGGAUGGGUCUAAUAAGGUUGGGAUUGCUCGUGACAACAACGAUGAGGAUUCAAGUUUUUUGGAGCUGAAGAAAUCACCGAGCUUUGCGGUUUGGAAUCGGUGUUUUUUACUGGGACUCUACUCGUUGGGUUUUCGCUUGUGCUUCCUUGUUGUUUUUGUUGUGUUGUGUUGUAGUUUUGUUUUUUUCUUUAGCUUUCGGUCUUUUCUGGCUAUUUGUAUAUUUAUGUAAUUUUUGUCAAAAACUUGCGAAAAUGGUAUAAAUACGUAAUAUUGAUACCAAAAAAAUACUUAAAAUGUGUUUUUUUUCCGUCAUACAUAACAUGUGUUACUAAUACUAUUUUUAGUAGAAAAUAAAAUGUAAAAAGUAUAUUAGUUUUAUUGUUUUAAAAAUAUUAUAUGCCCCAGUAUUAAUGUUUGAACUUUGAAGGGUUUUGUAGCCGAUUUGAACCCUACGACCGGUAUAAACGUCGAUGAUGACCCGACGGCUGGGUAUAAAGCCGAUAAACUUUUUCAGACUUAUUUGCUAUAUUUAAGUUGAAUGACCUGUGUUACUAUUGGGAGAACCGGAGAUCGACCGAGAUCGACGGUUGAGAUGAUCGCCCAAGAUUAUGGAAAUCAUGAAGGAUCUAGAAGUUAUCUUAUCUUAAGUUUAGGAAGUUUAACAUUAUCUCUAAAUAUAUUAUUUACAAUUUAUAUUUAUCUUAGAUUAGGAAAUCUCAUCUCUAUAUAAGAGAAUGUAUUUUGUACAAUAAUUCUCAUGAGAGUCUAUUAUAAUUCUUUCUAAACACUUUUGUGUUCUUUACUCUCAUCAAUUUAUCCUAAUAGUAUGCACUGAAGUGUAAACAAGUUUAUUUUUUUCUUGAAUAUAAUUUAACAUUAAAUUCAAAAAAAUAAAUACAACUUUAAGAAUCUUUCUAAAUACAAUUUCAUAAUUGUCAAAAAAAAUCAAAGCAAAUUCUAAGAGAUUGAAAGUAAACCAAAAGAUAAAAUUCAGUUAGUGUUUGAGAUUAUUCACCACAGAAUUAUGCCUCACGGAAGGUCCCGAAGGUGGUACAAGUACUCUUUUUGAAAAUAAAUGGAACACACGACCUUUGAAUCUAAAACCCCCAAUGAUCUCUUCUUGUCUUGAUCUUGUUUGAACUAGUGUCGUUUCAGAAAGCUUAAUCGGUCCGAUCAUCCUUGCCGUGGCGUUGUAUGAACCAAAAACCAAGAGGAAAACAAUAUAAAGAGUCAUAAACAUGGUUUUAUGAGAAAGAUUCAUAUAAUGUUCGGAGAAAGAAGAAGAAUAAGGAGGAGACAUUAAUUUAGCUACUAGCUAGGGUUUUUAUAAAUUUUGGAUUUUAAGAAGGCGGUUUAAGUUUUGAGAUGUAUAUAUAUGCGUAUAUAUAAACCUAUAUAUAUAUAUAUAUUUAUGUGCAUGAUUUAUGUAUCAUGUAUGAAAGUAUGCACAUUCUUGUAUGAGUAAAUUGGUCAAACAAGAAAAGCAAAAGAAAAAUAGAGAAGUGAAGCGCAAGUAAUGGAAUUUUAGUAUUUUGUGAUAAUAUUUAAGGUCAACGAUACUACGAUAGUGAAUAAAAAAACAACAAAUGAAUAUUUAUUAAACUUGAAAUGCCGCGUUGGACUUUACGUGGGACGAUGGUGUACGUGUGAAUGUGUGAUUAUCACGAGUUGUCUGUCAAAAUUUAAUCAUCAAACAUUAUUAUUAUUAUAUUGUAAAAUUUAAUUUAAUUAUCAAUUAUAUGUGUAAUAUCCAAAUUUUUGUAAGAGAAUCACGUUGUUAUAUGUAGACUUUGUAUAUUAUAUACACAUUAUAAUGUGUGAACAAACGAACAAUACGUGAUUUUUUAGUCCAAAGUUAGGUGCCAAUGACUAUCAAAUCAUUUGCGUCUUCGAUUUUGAAAGAAAAGUAAAUUCUAUUUUCCUUUCUUAAUUUCUUGUAUACAAGCUUUGUAAUCAUCUCUUGAGAAAGGCUUACGUAAAUAGUUUUAAGUUAAUCACCAUAGGCCACAAACUGUUACAAGUUUUUUUUUAAGAUAUUAUUUCCGUUAUUAGGGGUCACCGGUCACCAAACAAUUAAUUUAUCAUAUUAAUUAAAUUAUUCACCUGCAAAUUAUUUGUGGCACCUAAUAUUUAAAUUAUUUAUCAGCACAUAAUUUUGUUCUGUUAUAACAACUAACAUUUCGUCCAACAAAAGUGCUUUUUCAUAGGUUAGUGUACAUAAUUGUAUUAGUAUACAUUAAUACGAGUAUAUAUAUGACAGGUGACAACUUUCACGUAGUAGACGAAAAUGUCAAACUUUGCACACGCAUGAUACGUUGGAUAUUGAUCGUCGACUCGAGACAGAUAUUCGUCUGGACCACUAGAUUACGAGAUUUUAAUAUGUUUGCAUAAUUCUAGGCAAUAGCAUAUGAUUUCUUCAGAAUUAUUCUAGAAAAUUAAAGUGGUCUAUACUUAUACUCCAGCUCCAUUUUUAAAAGUGCCAAUAAUCUAUUUGAAACGUGUAAUGCUUUUGACCAUUUAUUAAGAUUUGUGUUGGUUCAAGUGGACAAUUUUUUUAGUUUAUUUACUCAAGAUUUAUAACAAAAAUAUACAUAUUUUAAAAUUGUGUUAAUCAAUCAUGAUACAACCAUAAUACUCAACAAUAAUAAAGUGCAUGAAUGCAAUGGUAAGGACUUCUUUUCAGAGAUGAUACAAUUUUUUUAGUUUAUUCAUUGAAGAUUUAUAACACAAUAUACAUAUUUAAAAUUUGAACCAUAAUAUUCAACAAUAAUCAAAUGCAUGAAUGCAAUGGCAAGGACUUCUUUUCAGUUGAUUUUCUCCAGAUUUAUAUAACCAAAAAUAUACACAUUACAAAAUGAGUAAUUUGCUGUAUAUAAUUAAUUUACCGAAAAAAUACAGUGAAAUUUUCGUAUAUAAAAGGUUUUUUAUUUUAUUACGCAUGAUUUUUUCUAAAGAGUGUGUCAAAGAAUAAAAUAACAUAAAAUAUUUCAAAAUCAAGUAUAAAAAUCUACACUAUUUUGAAAAAUCACAAACGAAUAUGAAUAAGAAUAUUUACCAAAAUAGCAUCCAGCGAUUUUGCAUUAAAAAAAAAAAAACCAUGCUCAUUUAGUGGUGGUAUCAUUAUUAAAAAUGUGUUAAUCAAUCAUGAUAUCUCUAUAUUAGCAAAAGAGAAGUACACAUGAGAAAAUGGGCUGCCUAUAGCGUUAUACCUAUACUAUAGCGUUUCAAUUCCUAUCCACCUGUACUUUCGACCUCUGCCCAAUUCACCCUAUACUUGUUUUAAACUUCAUAAUUCCACCUAAACUAUUAAAUUCUCCAUAAUUAACCAAAAUCAAGAAUUUUCUAUAAUUGCGAUUAAAAAUCGUUCAAAUUGCAGUAAAAAAUCUGUGUUUAUAUUAAUCUGAAGUUGACCCGACAAAACAAAUGAACACGAGUCAAACCCUUAUGGUGAAAGAAGUCUUCGAAGUUGGUCGGAUCUGACUCGGGUUGGCCUACAGUAAACGCGAUUUGAACGAUUUUUAAUCGCAAUUAUAGAGAAUUCUUGAUUUUGGUUAAUUAUGGAGAAUUUAAUAGUUUAGGUGGAAUUAGGAAGUUUAAAAUAAGUAUAGGGUGAAUUAGACAGAAGUCGAAAGUACAGGUGGAUAGGAAUUGAAACGCUAUAGUAUAGGUGUAACGCUAUAGACAGCUCUGAGAAAAUUGACCUUCAGUUUUUCGUAGUAAUUACUUCAAAUGCCAUUUUGAGGAAAUUAGUACUAAUUAUUUCAUUAAGGGUAGAUUAGGGUUAAAUUAGUCAAAGAGAAACGGGUUGGUGCAAUUAAAUUGACCCAUAUGCAUAUGCACUCGGAUCUUAUAAUUUCCAUAUAAUCUAAAAAUCUCAUUAAACAAUUUUUUUUUAUAACUUUAAUUCAAAAACGAUUACUCUAACCUAAUAUAUUUACAUUAACUAUUUUGAUACUAUAUAUUGUUAAGAUUUCUCCUCUCACCUUUGUUUAAUCCUACUUUUAUAAACAUUUAAACCAUUCCAUAAUCAAUAUAUUAAUUAAAAUUUUAAAAUUUCUUUCACACAUACUAUGAUUUAAAUUAUUAAAAACAGACAUAAAUUACUCAAUCGAUGAAUAAAAAAUAAGUAUAUCAAAACAACGGACCUAAUAUCGUUAUUCGACUAUACUAUAUCAAUCUGCUAUGUUACAUAUGAUACUCCAAAACAACCAAACUAAAACAGAUUUGACACUCCUAAAUAAAUUGUUAUAUUUAAAAAAAAAUGUUUAAAAAAUAUACGCAUCACACCAUUAUGUCCUAAGCUAAAUUAGUGUAUUAUGGAUAUCAAGACGGGAAAAUAACGGAUACGGAACAAAAACGGAUAAUUCGGGUAAUAAUAAAAUUUAUACAAACUAUUUUAGAUAACGAGACAAAAUCGGCAAAUUAUAGUAGUUAAAUUUAAUUUCCAGCUCUGAAUAAUUUGGGUAUGGGUCGACUUUGCCUCCGCCUCGUGGAAAAAUAUCAUAAAAUCCGAUAUAGUUAGCCUACAGCUUUAUGCCCUAAAUUUUUCAAGGUCCCUUCUCUCCGCCGGCUGAUAGCCCCAUCGACAGUAAACGAUGUACUAGACCAACGAAAUAACGUCGGUGUGGUGGGACGUGAACAGCUCUCCGGUUCCAAAUGGGUAUGAUGCUGGUCUGGUCGGUCCGUGUAUCAAAAAGAUGUUGGUGGAUUUAGGCCAUAUUGGUCCAGUCACCAUCACUGCCACUGGCGACUUUAGAGGUACCCCUGAAAGACGUCCUGCGAGCUCUCUCUUCCUCUGGAAUCAUUAUUAAAAACGUCGGCAACGAUUAGUUAAAUCUUCUUCUCUCUUUUCUAUAAUUGUAUUACAAGUUAGGGUUUUUGCUAUUGAGUUAUAUCUUUCUAUAAUUGUAGUACAAGUUAGGGUUUUGCUAUAUUGAGUUGCUUCAUUUUUCUUGAACAGGUCCCAAAUUAAGACCUUUUUACGUACUUUCUAUCUUGGACAAUAGAUAAUCCAGCUCCGGCUACAGUAAUGAUCAUUGCCCAUUACCAAGAUUUAACUUACAUGGAUCGCAGUCUCCAAUCGUUAAAGAAGGAAGGGUACACCUUUGUCAAGGUAUAUGCUCACCCUAUUGCCACUUGCACUGUUUCAGGCCCUUUAGGGUUAUACUGGGGAAAGGUACUUUCAGGGUCUUUGGAUAAUAAACCGGAGGCAAGAAGACAGUUUCUCCUGGAGAAGUGCAGUGAAACGAGUGAAACAAAGGAUGAAUCUGCCUGUUUUUUUUGCUUACUAUGCCAUUUUUCCGGCAAAAGCGCUGAAAGUUUCACUGCUCAUCUCUCUAGUGAAGAACAUGCACAGGAAGUAAGCAUCCUCUCUUCUUAUAUCAAUAUAUUUUGUCUACUAUCAAAUAAUUGGAUAAAUGAAUGAUCAUUUCUAAGUGGUUUGAAUUAAAAAAUUAACUGUGCAUUUAAGUGUAGACAUGUCAUUCUCACGAGUAGAAGCAGUUGCACAUAUUGAAUUAGUUAACACACUUUUCCAUCUCAAAAUGGUAAAAUUUUAGAUUCAUCUUUUAUUCAUCCAAUCCAAGUGUAUAAUUCAUUACAUUGGUCCAUUUGAUUCAACAGCCUCUUGUCGAUACCUAAUUUGACCCCAUGUUAUCCUUUGCCCACUGGUCUCAAGCAGGAGUUAGCUAAUGUUUCUGUGGGUUUACCCAAAGGCAUGAAGAUGAUUGGAGGCCGAGCUGUUCAGGCUUCUCUUGAUUCUCAUCGAAAGAAUGUUGGAGAUACAAUCCAAGUCCCACAUCGGAAGUUUGAUGGGACAAUCAAUAAUAUAUAAAGGGUUAGGGCCAAUCCACUAAUUGCCAAUUGGUUUUUAGUUGGAAGCCCAUAAUUAGCCCAAAUUUAACAUGGUAUCAAAGCCCAAAGUUCAAAUUCUGGUGGACCUAGAAAAGUGGAUACGGACAUACCUCAAACCCGAGUAAUGGGGGCCCGAGAAAGGGGCUUAUUAUCGGUCCGAGUGAGGGAUCGAGGAGGUGUGUUAAGAUCCAUGUGGUCCUUGGAUUGAAGAGGAGAUUGUUGGAGAUACAAUCCAAGUCCCACAUCGGAAGUUUGAUGGGACAAUCAAUAAUAUAUAAAGGGUUAGGGCCAAUCCACUAAUUGCCAAUUGGUUUUUAGUUAGAAGCCCAUAAUUAGCCCAAAUUUAACAAAGAAUGCUACUUAUUCCAUUGUGAAAGAGCGACCAAAGUCUUUAAAGUUGAUGCUAAGAAUUAAAAUGAAGAAAAAGAUGAAGAAGACGAAGAAGAAGUUGAAGAAGAGGAGUACCAAAUGAGCACACAGAGACCACGAAGGAGAAGAGAAGGAGAAGAGGAGUACGUACGUACGUGUCCCAUGGGAUGUUUAAUGUUUUGUUCUACUUGUAGCGGUUGGGUUAUAAUAUUGCAAGAACAUAAAUAUAUAAACUGCUAAACUAUAUUGAGCAUCUACAUUUAUAUUAUAAAAGAAUUGAGUGAAAUUACAAUAUUGAUAAUUCAUUACUUCAAAACCAAGCAUGAAAAUAAAUGCAAAAUAGAGCCUUGAUAAAUUUCCAUGGUUAGGGUACAUUGGCUAACAAUGGAGGAACAAAGCUUGAUCCUUUAAGAGUCUGCUCAAAUAUGUGACCCACUUUCAGCAAUUUCUCCUAAAACCAAUCAACAAAUCAUCAUUUGAAGCUUAAUCUAAUCUUUAGAAUAAGCGAAGAGUUUAUAUAACAAACCUCAUCAAACGCUGCACCGAUCAUUUGAAGACCAACAGGAAGACCCGAGGGACCGCCUUCGACUAAUCCACACGGUAAUACCAUAGCAGGAAGCCCUGCAAGAUUCACAUUGACCUGCAACAAACCUCAUAUGAUACAAACUAUUUGUUUCGUGUAACGACGAUUAUAGAGAGAAUGAAACUAAGAAACAUUUAUACCGUCAUAAUGUCUCCAGCAUACAUUGCCAGUGGAUCAUCUUUCUUUUCACCAAUCUUGUAUGCAGCAGAUGGAGCUGCCGGAGAAAUAAGAAUAUCGUUCUGUUCUAACGCUGCUUUGAAGUCUUUUCGAAUUAGUGUUCUCACCUAUAUGACAAACAAAAGAAAAGUAUAUAUAUUUAUCGAUCAUAAAUAUCUAGUGACUGCAUUUGAAGAUGCGGCUUACCUGUUGAGCUCGCUUGUAGUAAGCAUCGUAGUAACCCGCAGAGAGUGCAUAUGUCCCCAUUAAAAUUCUCAUUUUCACCUUAGGAAAUCAAAAUUCUCUCUGAUCAUAAUCAAACACUUGUUGAUUAAAUCAGAUGGAGUAAUUUCUGAAAUCAUACCUCUCCUCCAAAUCCUUCUCCACGGGAACAUUCAUACAGCUUAUUGAGUUCUUCAGCCAUAACUUGAUUUCCAUAUCUUCAUUUCCAAUACAAGAAACAAUAUCAUUUUAUACAUGCCUGAUGCAAUCAUAUUGUGAGUCAAGUCGUAAUACCGAGAUUACCUGACACCAUCAUAACGUGAUAAAUUCGAAGAUGACUCCGAUGAGGCAAUAACGUAGUAAGCUGGCAGUCCAAGAGAGAAUGAAGGAAGGGAGACCUGUAAAUUUUGGCAACAAAUCUCAGAAACUUAAAGAACAAACAAAACGAAAAAGAAAAACCGAGACAAAGGAAUUAAUGAAAAAAACCUCUGUCAAUACACAACCCAAUGCUUCUAAGUGAGACGCAGCUUCCUGAGUAGCAGAUCUCACUCCAGAAUCAACACCGUCUUCGAGUGUCUCGCGAAUUAUACCAACUUUCACUCCAUUCAAUGGUUUAGACUCAAAAUGAUCCAUAGAUAGAAACUGAGAUUGGAACUCAGGCACAUCCUGAACAAAGAAAAUAUGUUUCUGUUGCAAAGAAAAGAUCUUUCGCUCAUUACAAUGCAGGAAACCAACUACAACAAGAGACCUUACUUGUUUGCUACUUGUGGAGUCAAACCUAUCAUACCCAGAAAUAGCAUGAAGAAGCAUCCCAGCAUCAGCAACCGUAGACCCAAAACACCCAAUCACAUCCAACGAAGACGCAUAAGCCAUAAGUCCAAACCUAGAAACACGCCCAUAAGUCGGCUUAAGACCAACAACACCACAGAACGAAGCUGGCUGUCUCACACUUCCGCCAGUAUCACUACCAAGCGACACCAUACACUGUCUUGCUGCAACAGCUGCUGCUGAUCCUCCCGAUGAACCUCCCGGUACACGACUCAAAUCCCACGGAUUCACAGUUACCUUUAAACCAAAACCAAACCCCAAGAUUCAAUCCCUAAACCAUCACAAGCUCCCCAAUAAGACCAUCUUCAUCUAUCCAAACAUAAAGGCUCCAACUUUAUUAACAUUCCUGAAUCAUUCAAUCCUAAACCAUCACAAGCUUAGCUUCCCCAAUAACACCAUCUCCAUCUAUCCAAACAUAAAGGCUCCAACUUUAUUAACAUUGCUGAAUCAUUCAAUCCUAAACCAUCACAAGCUUCCCUAACAACACCAUAUUCAUCUAUCUAAACAUAAAGGCUCCAACUUUGUAAACAAUCAUCACAAGAUUCAUAAGACAAACCUGAAAAGCAGAAGCUUCAGUGGUACUUCCCAUUCCAAAUUCAUCCAUAUUAGUCUUACCAACAACAAUCCCACCCAACUCUUUAAUCUUCCUAACCGCUGUAGCAUCGAACGGAGGACGAUAAUGCUCCAAGAUUCUCGAGGCGGCGGUAGAAGGCAUACCUUGAGUACAAAUAUUAUCCUUAACGCCGAUCAAAACUCCGGCGAGAGGACCCAAUUCUUCACCUUUAGCGAUUCGUUGAUCAAUCUCUUGAGCAUCUUUGAGAACAUUCUCCGAUACGUGAAGGAAGCAUUUGAGCUGAGGUUCAGUGAGACGGAUACGAGAAAGGUAAGAUUUUGCGAUUUCGACAGCUGUGGUUUCGCCGGAGAGAAGAGAACGACGAGUGGUGAGAAUCUGAGAUUGUGGAGGAGAGAUAACGGAGGUCGUCGAAGAAGCUGCAGAUACAAUGGUUUUGGAGUUUCGAAAUCGGCGGAGAGGGAGGAGAGAUAGAGAACGCGGCGGUUGCAAUGUCGAUAACAUUGCUUCACACAAAUCAAAGUUUUGAUUUUGAAUCACUGAAUCAUCAAAUUGGGGAGAUACUGAGGUUAAAAUUGAAAUUGGGUACUCGAGUUAUAAGUUAAAGAAGGAAGAAUUCUCCGGUGUAACGCCGGAGAAAAUGUUUCGGCGGCGGCUGUUUGAGGAAGGAGAAUAAGACUUUUUUCAGUGUUUACUAAUCUGUUCAAAAAAUGGAGAGAGGAUUUAUUAGUGGGCCGAAGUUAAAUGGGUAUAUAGUUUAAAGCCCAAUAAAAGUUUUUUUUAAUCGUUAAAGCCCAAUAAAAGUUAAGGUUGCGAGAUGGUGUACAAGUAGAACAAGUGUGUUAUGAGUUAAGAAUCUUUGAUAUAUACCGGCUGCGAUUUUGGGAUGUUGUUCGUUUAACAAUCGAGUCGCUGCGACUAAUCAUUAUUUAAAAAGUCAUAUCGCUAAUUUUUUUUGCGAUUAAAAAUAUCAGUCGCAAGUCGUAGCGAUUCUGCGACUGCUAAACGAACAACUUUCAGUCAAAGAACAGCACCAUAUUCUUUGCUAUGCUCUUGAUCGAACUACCCAAUCAAUGUUAUUCGUAUGACGUAAAAAUUGAAAAUUAUUUUAAAAUAUGACGAAAUUAUGUCAAAAUUUAUCAUCAUUGGUUAAUUGUACUUUCCUUUGUUGACAUGUUUUUAGACAUGUAGUAUUAGUCAUUAGACAUGUUUUAAGGAUGUGACACUAAACAAAAGAGCUCGAUAUAAUAAUUUGCAAAUGGGGUAAAUAAACAAAAUCAAUCAAAUCAAGACGAUAAAGUGUCAAAAACUUGUACGGAAAUUAAUAAUUACAUUAGCUAUAUACUAUAAAUUACUUAUAUAAGAAAAAAAAAAAGUGAAAAAAGAGCCAAGAAAUAAGGACUGCAGGAACAUUCAACUCUUGGCCAGAAGGUUGAGUUAAUAAAUUGUUCAAGAAAACCAAACUCAUUACUAACUUUACUAUUUAAUCCGUACGGCUCAUUGUAACUUGCAAGAAUCAUUUAUUAAAUAUCAUCAUUGUUUUCAAUUCCAAGAACAUCUCAUUGGAUUCAUUUAACUGAUUAAAAGGAAAAUAUAAGUCUCUUUUUAAUUUUGAUUCACAAGUUUGUGGAUAAGAUAGUAAGAAAAUAUGAAAAGAAUAAAAGAUACUCUCUCCGUUUCACAAAGAAUGUUGUUUUAAGAUUUUAUUUUUGUUUCACAAAGAGUGUCGUUUUAGGUUUUGAAUGCAAAAUUUAAUGAUUUUUAUGUUUUAUGACUAUUAGUAUUCUGCAUAUUGUUUUAUUAUUGGGCAAAUUAUGUUUAGAUAUAUAGUUAAUGAUGUUUUUGUUUAGAAAAAAUAAAAAAUUUAAUGUUUUCUUAAUCUGUGUGCAAAACUCUAAAAUGACACUCUUUGUGAAACAGAAGGAGUUUAUAUAUGCUUAUAAUUAAACAGAGGGAGUAAGAAACUAAAAAUGAAAAUAUUUAUAUAUUAAAUUUUUAGAAGGAUAUUUAACUCAAUAUAAUUAAGAAAUUUUGAAGAAAAGCUUAUAAUUAUUCUGUUAUUCCUAUUUAACGUAGAGAAAAAGAGAGUUUUGGAGAAUUGAUUUUCUUAGUAUCUCUAUACUAUUAAAAGAGAAGUACAAAUGAAAAUGGGUCGGGUUAAAAUCAGAAAAUUGACCCGAAAUUAUGAAAUCGGAUCUUUGAAAUUUUUUUGGAAUAUAAAUUCGAAUUAAUAAUGAAAAAUCGAAAUAAAAUAAAAUAUUUAUGGAAAUCAAAUAAAAUCUAAUUGUACUUAUGGUAACUAAUAAUAAAAGCAUAUUCCAAACAAUAAUAUACAUUAAUUACGUAUAAUAAAUUUGUUCAUAUAUUUUUAGGACUAAUUCCAUACAAUCAACGUUUUUGUCAUUAAUUUCGCUCAUUUUAGUCAAUUAUCAUUAAUUGAAAGAUAUUUUACUUGCUUCUAAAGAUUUCUAGAAAAUUUAUCACAAAUAACCCCUGUUCUAAAAAUCCCCGCCUAGAUCCGAUUACUCCCCGCUUAAUCGCUAGGCCCACCCUAUCCGCCUCGAUCAAUGACUAAUCCCUUAAAGAAAUCAGUCACCCGAUUACUCUCCGCCUAAUCCGAUUACUUCCCGCAUAAUCCGAUUAUUUUCCGCCUAAUCUUAUAUACCCCGAUUAUUUUAGAUUACUAGUAUAAAAAAAACUUUUUAUUUUUGUUAUUCAAUCAUUUGAAUUGGGAGUUUGUAAUGUUUUACAAUAACUUAUGUUCAAAUUUUAAUAAAAAUCAUAAAUUUGAAAUAAAAAUCAUAAAAAUUUGUCUCAAAAAUACAUUUUUAUGUGUUUACUGCAAUUUUGAAAAUAAUAUUAGAUUAAUAUGUUUUAAAAAUAUUAAAAUAACCCUAAAACUAAUCCCCGAUUUUAAUCAGAUUUUCCGAUUAAUCGCUAGGCCCAUGCCGAACGCCCGACUAGCGCCUAGCGAUUUUUUAAACAAGGCAAAUAACCCAUCUGUUUUAUAAAUUAAAUUGAUAUUUUUAUUUUGUUCGUGUAAAUUAAAUAGAUAUUUUUAUUUUGGUCGUGUAAAUUAAAUAGAUAUGAAAUCCAUGUAACUAAUUUUAAUUUAAUUAGAUUAAAUCGAAAUUAUGAUAUUUUCAUACCUAUAACUUACCAAAGAAGUUUAAUUUUCAAUUUAUAAAGAUUUCUUGAAUAUGAUUUUAGAAUUAUUCAACAAGAUGAUAAGUAUUUAUUAAAUUUUGUGAAUCAUGAAAAAUAAUAAUUAAUUUUUAAUCAUUAUACUUCAUCUUUCAAUCUCUCAUCUAGAUACAUAUUCUAUUAUUACUAUGUCCAAACUUCAUUUUGUUGUAUAACUAUAUAAUAUUUCCAUUAGAACUGUCAAAGCGAGUUGAUUCGUCCCGUUAAGUCCGUUUUGCGAUAGACAAAAAAUAUUUUGACUUGUAGUUAGUCGGUCCGCACGACCCGCGGGUAGCAUAUAUGAAAUACAAACUCGUCCCGCGAAUGUAUGCGGAUUUGCGGGAUUGUCCAUGGAUUUUGUUUAAAUAAUUUUAAAGUAACCAAAAUUUAAAAUACUACUAAAAUAAAUAAAUAAAUCAAAAUACUAUUAAAAGUUUGUUUAAAUUACCACAUGUGGAAUAAAUUAUAAUUUUAUCAAUAAAUACUAAUAUGCGGGCUGAUCCGCCAACCCACGGAUGAAAACUGAUUAAACCUAUGACCCACUGCGAAUUAAUCCAUGUGGCCCGCUUAUUUGCGGGUUUAAUAUAUUUUCCCAAAUCUGCCCCAUAGUGAGAUGAUGUGGGCUGGACCCGCGGUUUUUGACCUAUUUUGACUGCUCUAAUUCUCAUGAAUCGUCUAAUUUUAGAAUUUUAAAACACAAAAUUCUAUUUUGUAAAUCAUAAUUAUUACGAUGGGUAUAUUUAUAAACAAUUUUACAUUUUCUCUACAAUUCGUUAUUAUGAAUAUUUAUAAGUAUACUACACGAUUCGUUCUACUAAAAAACACACACAAUAUUAAACGCAACAUAUGUAAACCAAUAUUCUUCCGCGGUAGACCGCGGGUCCGUUUAAGUCAAUAUAACUCCGUAAAAGAUUACUAAUUGGAAAAAGAAAAAACUUGUCAAACAUAAUUCAGACACGAAUUAGAUAUCUUUUUGUCUACAAACAAAAUUCGAUAUCUAAUGUCGCUAAAAUCUUUUACAUAAAAUCAAAACUUGUUGCAACCGAGUUAUAAAACAACAAAACAAUUAUUUUUGCUUUUGUCUUGGUAGUAAAUACAGUGAAAAGUACAUAAGCCGUCACCUAUGAACAACUAAUAAUGACUUACGGAGUUAUGGAGACAGAGCGUCAGAGCCUAUGAAAGCAACAAAAGAAAGAGAAAAAAUAGCUAUAAAUGAUCGUAAAAAGCUAACUGCGAACCUAAAAACAAAAAGUAAAAAUGUAAAAGAAGAUUUUUUCAGUCUAUACUAAAAAGUAAAAGCCCCUAACUGUCUUAUCUUUAAUUGAACAUCUCAGUAUCUACUUUUAAAAUUCAUAAAACAAAAAUUAUUUAUAAAAAGAAAUUGAAAAAAAUAGAAGAGUCAUUAAAUUCUCUAUACGAAGUCAGAAAAUUCCAGGCAGUACAAGGCUUUGUUUGGUUUGGUUUGUAUUGUCUGUUUGAAACCAAUGACAGAGCCUGAGACACCAAAGUUAGCUAUCUUUGGAUAUAUGCUUAAAUGCUUUGCAUGUUUAUAGAAAGCAUUUCACAUUUAUAGUCACAACCAUAUGUUUAAAACCUAAACUUAUACUAUAGAGUUUAGUUUACACUUUAUACGAUUAAAAUGCCAAUUUAGGAUCGUCAAAACAUUUAGCACAAUUUAUCGUGGUCAUGUAACGUAAUAUCUAUACUUGUUACUUCAAUAGAAAAGCCUUAAGUCUUGUUUUUUUUUUUUGUUCAAAGCCUUAAGUCUUGUUUAUUACUAUAAGUUUGGUGGUUGAACAAAAAAAAACUUUUAAAAAAACAAUAUUGAACAAAUUAACAAGAAAAAUCAUUGGAGUUCCUAAAAUUUAUUUGUUUCUCUCUAUCCGAAAUAUGUUAGUUAUAAAAGUAAAUUACAUUACAAACAUAUACAAAUUUUUAGAUUAAGACAGAUGGAGAAGAAACCAGACUUGUUACAUCCAAAAGGAUUUGAUUUUCUUCUUUUUAAGCAAACACCGACAUCAAAAUCUAUCAACCAACACAUCAAUACUAUUAACCAUCACACAAAAAGUUAACAAACUAACAAAUUCAAUAAUAAUAUAAGAGAAAGCUCCAAAAGCAAAUUCCACAUGAACCCAUUUGACAACAACACGUGUCUAGUAACCAUCACACCCAUUGAUGAACUUGACUCAUCCUCCUCCUUAAGGUUGCUCCACGUUUGUUUAAUUACCGAACUACCCUCUGUCUUCUCCAUCAUGCAAGACUUCAAUCCAACAACAUAUUGCUGAGCUUCUGACACGACAUGCUGACAAAGAUUUGGAUUCUUUGAAGCCUUAAAUCUUGUUCCCAUCUUCUCAUAGAACUUUCUUGAGAAUUCAAGCUCUCCUGAUAGAUUGUUUCCAUUGAUGUAGAGAGCACCAAGACAAGGCAAUGUCUCGAGCCUUCUCGAUGGGACAGUGCCGGUUAAAUUGUUGUCGUUGAGACCAAGAAACCUCAAUCUUUUCAAACUUGUUAAACCUAAAGGAAUCUCACCACUUAAACCCAUCUUUGACAGAUCCAAAAUGACCAAAUUGCCCAUAUUCUCCCACUUUAUUCCCAUCAUGUCAUCACUGCCCAUUGGGUUCCCUGAUAAAACAAGAUCCGUUAAAGAUCGAAUCUUUACGACGUUUUCGAACAACCCUCCAGAGAUUAUGUUGUUCCUAAGAUCCAACAGUGUCAGAUUCUUCAAAAACCCGAUUUCUUGAGGUAACUUGCCUUCUAAGUGGUUAUUGCUUAGGUCAAGCUUAAGCAAUGAAACCAUCUCUCCAAUGGACGAAGGCAAUGUCCCUGAGAUUAAGUUCCGACUCAUAUCCAAGAUCAGUAAAUCCUUAAACCCAUUAAAACAAUCCGGAAUCGUUCCCGUGAACAAGUUUCCCGCCAGAACCAACCGUUUUAACCUAGUUAAAUUGCAGAGACUCGUCGGUAACUUCCCGUUAAACCCGUUUUCAAGAACCACCAAAGACUUCAGCUUUGUGAGACAUCCAAUUGUUUCAGGAAGUUCACCAAUCAAACCAGGAUUGGAUCUAAACUCGAGAGAUUCUAAGUUACUUGCCAAGUUAAUCCAAUCCUCUUUAGGUAUUGUUAUCGGCGAAGUGAAGCAGUUGAAGAACGUGAGAGAUUUCAAGUGCUUGAGCUUGAACAACUGUGGCUUUAUCUUCAAACUUGCACCGCAAGAAAGCGAGUUUUCAUGAACGAGACCUAGGGUUAGAUCCGUGACAUACCACAAGUCACCAUAAAGAUCACAAGAAACACCCUGAAAAUCCAAAAAAAAAGUUUCAAAUUAUUGAAACAAUAAUAAAAAAGGAAUUUUGUUAGUUGUGGGCCAAUUAUUGUACAUAUAUAAUUGAAGCCAAAAACAUUUAAAGAAAUAAAAAUGAGAUCUUAUAUGUAAAUAGGUAUACACUUUGAUGCGUUGAAGCUUAAAAGUUUCACUUACUGGUUAUGGAAAUUUCAAAGGGGACAGAAUUAUUCAGACAACUACAGAACAAAUUCUUGAACAUAAACUUUAAGUGUUCAAGAAAAUCCCAAGAAUCUAGAAAAGAAUAAAUCAAAGAUUUGUAAGAAAGUAAAACAAGAACCUGAAUAGGAGUCCAACCACAAGGGUCAGGGUAAAGAUCAGAACCAUUCCAAGAAUCACCAACAAAUCCUUGAAUAGCUGAGUAAAGAGCUUCUUGUUCUGUUUUCUCCAUCGGAGCUCCAUCAUCAGUGACUUCCGGUGAUGAUUCUCCGGUAACGCACCACCGGAAGGUUAGAAAAAGGAACAAAACAGAGUGAAUCCAAGACAUUGUGGGAAAACAGAGGAAAUGAGAUAGAUAAAACAAAGUUUGUGGAUUUUGGUUUGAGGUUAUCUCUGGGUUUCUUUAUCUAUUGGUGUUAAAAAUAUUUAUUGAAGAGAGAGCGAGAGGUCGUUGGGGGAGUCAAUGGAUUUCUCUUUAUUAUUAUAGCUCAAAAACGUUACGAGAAGGGGAAAAUUAAAUUAAAAGACUGAAAAAAUGAAAAUGAAAUCGAGGGACUGUAACGAGAAAGACAUUUGGUUAUAUGUUGUUGUCUCUGUCACAUAAAAGUAAAUGUGGCAUUUGUUCCCAUAUCCCAUACUCCCUCUGUUUCACAAAGAAUGUAGUUUUAGAGUUUUGCACAUAGAUUAAGAAAACAUUAAAUUUUUUGUUUUUUCUAAACAAAAACAUCAUUAACUAUAGGAAAAAAGAUACUCAGCUACACGAAAUAUAACGGAAUACAUGGCUACACAUGCCAAGUUUAAAAAUGUACAACCAACUACACAAACUAAAUGUAUUGCAUGCCUACAUAUACCAACUAUAUGACGACAUGUGGUCAAUAUCACGAACAUCUUAUUCUGGUAUACUAAUCAUCGAAAUCCGGCGUUGACCAUCGUUGACCGGUAUUGACCAACAAAAAUAUUCAAUUUUUUUUAUAUUUUAAUAUUAAAAACAAAAACAAAAAAUUAUUCUAUUAAAUCUUUUAUUGUAUUGUAUAAUUAAAGAGGAAAACACAUUCUAUAUAGUAUAUUCAACUUAAAUAAAUUUUGUAUAUAUAUUUAAUAAAUUGAUUAUUAUAAUUAGUUAGUUUUUUCAAUUUCAAAACUAAAAUAAAAGUGAAAUAAAAAUAAUUAAGCGAAUUCCUUAUUUUUACAUUGUCAAUAAAAACAUUAACUUCUUAUUUUAUAAAUGUUUUUUGCUAAAAUCAAUAUCGUUAGAUUUUUUAUUUGCUAUAUAUUAAAAAAAACAAAUUACGACCUUUUUUGUUAUUUAUCCGUUAUUGCGAAUUUUUUUUUAAUAAUUUUAAUUACAUAAAUUAAUAAUAUAUUAAAGUUAGACUAAAGAGUAUGUAAAAUUUUCUAUGUUUUUAACUAUGUAUUAUGAUUUUGAUUUUAGCAAAAAAAACUUAAUAUUUUUUAAACAUGCAAACUUUAGAUUAAAGAGUCAUAUACUCAAUUUUUCUAAAAAAAAUAAUAAUAUUUAUUUCAUUUCACUUUUAGUUUAGUUUUGAUUUUUGAAGUUAAAAAAAUUAACUAAUUAUUAAAAUCACUACCGGUCAAUACUAAAAAAAUUAACUAAUUACUAAAUUUUUUUUUUGAAUAUUUACUAAAAAAAUUAACUAAUUACUAAAAAAAAUUUUGAAUAUUUUUGUUGGUCAAUACCGGUCAACAAUGGUCAACGCCGGAUUUCGUUGAUUAGUGUACCGGAAUAAAUGUUCGUGAUGUUAAGCACAUGUCGUCAUAUAGUUGGUAUAUGUGGGCAUGUAAUACAUUUAGUUCGUGUAGUUGGUUGUACAUUUUUAAACUUGGCAUGUGUAGCCAUGUAUUCCGUCAUACUUCGUGUAGCUGAGUAUCUUUUUUCCUUAACUAUAUACCUAAACAUAAUCUGCCCAAUAGUAAAAACAAUAUGCAUAAUACUAAUAGUCAUAAAACAUAAAAAAUCAUUAAAUUUUGCAUUGAAAACCUAAAACGACACUCUUUGUGAAACAAAAAUAAAACCUUAAAACGACAUUCUUUAUGAAACGGAGGGAGUACAUGUUAAUAUACACGUAUCUACUUCUUCAACUUUUUAUUUUUCUAUUUUUAAGUAGAUAUAUUAUUUAUUAACAAUGAAAAAUAAAAUAAAAACAAUAAAAAAAUUGGGCUUACAAUUAUUUUUAGGCUUUAAUACCUAAAUAAUAAGUCAUAAAGCCUUUAAGUUACAAAAUCUUAUAUGGGCCUAAACAUACCUCGAAUAUCCGUUAUCCGACCCAAAUUUUAGGAUUAUUCGUAUUCGUAUUCGUAUCCGGAAUCUCCGUCAUUUUGGUAUCCGUAUCCGUAUCCGUUUGGCCGGAUAUCCGUUUUUCGGAUAAAAAACCGGAUAUGAAUACGGAUAUCCGCGGAUAACAGAUAUAAAUCUCAGGCCUAUCUAGACGAUCUUUGAUCCAGAAGAUGUCGAGCUAAUAAGUGUCCUACAUGUGGGCUCGCCAACUAAGAAAGAUACUCUGGGUUAACAUUUUACAAAAUCAGGAAAAUAUACAGUCAAAUCGGGAUAUCACACUACACGGAUAGAAAAGUCGGAGACCAAUUUAUCUUUUAUUGGCCCAGACAUAAAACCGCUAAAAGCACAUUCUUGGCAAAUGUAGUGUCCACCUAAGGUACGCCAUUUCUUGUGGCAAAUCUUAACGGGUUAUGUACCGGUUAUGGAGAAUUUGCAGAAAAGAGGAAUUGAUUGUGACAAACGAUGUGCUAGAUAUAGCGAAUCAGAGGAAACAAUCAAUCAUACACUCUUUCAGUGCCACCUGACACGACAGAUUUGGGCGCUUUCAAAGAUUUCUACGGCUAUGGAGAAUUUUCCCACGGAAUCUAUUUUUGCGAAUCUGGAUCACUUAUUCUGGAGAAUACCUUCGGAAUUGGAUUCAUCAGUCUUUCCAUGGAUUAUCUGGUAUAUUUGGAAAGUAAGGAAUGCAAAAAUCUUUGAAAAUAUAGACAAAGACCCGUUAGAGGUAUUAUAGUUUGCGAAAAAAGAGGCACAAUUGUGGCAAUCAGCUCAAAUCGAGCUUCAUAAUGAAAAGCAUGGUUCUGUGGAUUUGCUAACUCGGUCUCGAGUGAGAGAUUAUUCACUUGAUUCGAAUUAUUCUGGACACCGUUGCUUUGUGGAUUGAUCAUGGAAAGAAAGUGAUAAGUUCUCCGGUACAUGGUGGUUUUGUAUAUCAUUAAAUAGAGAGCCGCCAACCAUGGGAGCUGCCAACCUUCGUAGAAGGUUAUCUCCACUACAUACAGAAGUUGAGGCCCUUCUUUGGACGAUGAAGUGUAUGAUUGGUGCGGAUAAUCAAGAGGUAGUGUUCUUUACAAACUGUUCUGAUCUGGUGAAGAUGGUAUCUUCUCCAACCGAAUAGCUGGUGUUUUCAGUGUAUUUGGAGAAAUCUCAGAGCGACAAGAAAGAAUUCUCAACCGUUUCUUUAUCUUUAAUUUCUCAUAGUGCUAUGUAAAAGUAGACAAUCUGGCACGAAAAAUUCUUACAGAACCGCUACAUAUCAUAUAUGUAAACAAUAUUCCUGAAAAAUGGCUCAUUUGAUCUCUAAUUACGACAAAAAAAAACUGGCAUUUUAACUAUUUUGGGAGGAUAAUGAUUGAACCGAGACUAAAUCGGAGAAUAAACAUAAACCAAAACCCUCUGAUUCAUUAGAAGGAUAAUUUUGCUGUAUCACACCACACCAGCUCGGAUUUUAAUAUCUCUAGCCCCUUUGGGAAGAUUCAAUUUUUGGAAAACCCCUCUUUAUUCUCACUACCCCCUCUCCUUCCCAAUUUUUCCAUAAACCAACUCUACCCCUUAUCCCUUUAAUUCUACAUUUAAUUUAAUACCAACACAUUUUUUAUUUAACCAAUCAAAAACUUUCUCUCUCUUCUCUCAUUAAAAAAAACAAACCUACUAAAUGUCUCACCUUUUACGACAAUAAACCUACGAGACCUUCUUCUUCUUCUUCUUCAACAUCUCCGACAUUGCAGCUCCGACGUUCUUCAGCAGCUCCGACGUUGCAGCUCCGGCGUUCUUCUUCUUCUUCUUCUUCUUCUUCUCCAUCUACCAUUGAAGCUCACCAUUAAAGCUUGCAUCUCCAAAGACAUAUCUCUUCUCUUCUUCUUCUUCUAUUCCCACCAUACUGUAAGGUAAGUAUACUUGUUUUCUUAGUGUAGUAUGAUUAAGUUGAAUUCGUAUCUCGAAUAGGGUUAUUUAUUGAAAUAUUUUAGGAUUGCAGAUUUGGGACAACUGAAACCACUGGGUACAACAACUAAGUAGAAUAUUUUCGAAAACCCUAAGUUUGGUGCAACUGGGACAAAUGUGUACAACAAUGUUGAUGGUCUGCUACGAAAAUUAUAAAAUUAUAGGCCCUUUUUUCUCUCUGUUUUUUUUAGGGACAAUGAAAAGGAAUUCAGUCAUACUCCCGAUCUUUGGGCACAUGAUUUGUGCUCAAAGUAUUAUUGGAUCGAGCUUUGGGUUUUGGCGUAUACGAGGACAAUUUAUCCGGUUCCCAUAACAGUCAAUGGGUUCUUCCUGAGGAGAUAAUGCAACUGUUUGCAUAUCCUCCGGAUUAUGAGGUAAAACAAGGAGGAAGACAAGAAACAAGAUUCCCCUCCGUUGGAGAACAUAGAGGAAGAGGACGUAAGAAGAGGUCGCAUGGAUCGAGCGGUUUGGGCGUUGAUGGAGACGAUGAUGGAGACGAUGCGGGGGACCAAGGUUAAUUUCUCAGUGCUAUUUAUUAGGUUAAUUUAAGAAACGAUGUUGUUUGUAUUGGUUUUGUUUGUGAAACUUAUAUGUUCUGUGUUGUACAACUAAGUUUUAGCAAGUACAACUAUGGUUGAUUUUCUUCUCGUAUCUGUGCAAAUUUUGUCAGUCUGGGUACAAUUAAGUACCACAAGUACAACUAAGGUCUAAUGCCUUAGCCAAUUUUCAGAAUUUUAUAUAAUAUGAAAAUUUAAAACAAAAUUAAAAAAACUUAAAAAAUGCAUACACAAUGGUAAUGAAACUACACAACAAGUUUUUGACAAAAAAUUUCAUAUUUAAAAAAAAAUACUGAAAUUCUUACUCAAAAUCCCACAUUCAUACACUAACAACCUUAUACUUUCAUGGUUACUUUGUAGAUUUGAACUAAAAUUUUAUAAAUUUUUGAAAUACUUAUAUUUUGAUAAAUAUAAAUGCACAGAUACAAAGUAAUGGUAUUUUUAUGAGGCAAUACCAUCGGUUCCACCAACAAAAAUUAAAUUAGAGUUGAUAACAACUAGAUUUACUAAAAUCUCUAUAUUGUACAACUAUGAGCAAAAAUGUGCAACCGAGUACAACUGUACAACUAUGAACAAAUUUGAGCUAUUAUUUAAUGAUUGUUUUCAAAAUAACGGCGCCAGGUAUACCAUUUGUCAGUUUUUUUUUAAAAUAACGGCGCCAGGUAUACCAAAAUAUCAACUAGAUUCACUUUUUUUUUUUUUUUUUCCAAAACCCUUACAAACCUACAUAUUUGUCAAAUUUUUUGAUUAAUUUAGAAUUUUUUUUUUUUUGGUUCAAAACCCUUAGAUUAUAUUCAAUACAUAGAUUCAUACAUAAAAAUAUUAAGAUUCAGAUUAAAAGAUUCAUACAUAACUAGAAUCAGAUUCAAAGAUUUCAUACAUAAUAAAAAAAACAUAAACCCAGAAACAUAGUUGUACCUAAUCGUACCAGUUGUACCUAAACACUUAGAUUUAUACAUCAAUAUGAGAGACCAAAAUAAGGCUCUUUCUCCUUCUUCUUUUUUCAUAAAGUAAGACUUAGAUUUAUACAUCAACAUCAGAGACCAUAAUAAGAUUCAUACAUAAUCAAAAAACAUAAACCCAGAAACAUAGUUAUACCUAAUCGUACCAGUUGUACCUAAACAUUCUCCAAAGACGGUUCGACUCAUUGAUCUUCCAUGACAUCAUCCUCUGCAGCUGCUGUCUCUGAAUGCUUUGGAUACGAUUGCCUUUGUCUUUUGGGAUUUCUAAGCUCGGCAGAUUAUUCACUUCUAGAACAAGAUGGUUCACUUCUAGAACUAGAAGCUCUUCCUAUGGUAAUAGCCUUUGUAAACCAACCUGCAACAACAAAUACAAAUUCAAUAUCUAUCUACUUACACAAACUCAAACUCACAUAAUCUCAAGAGAUAAAGUUUGGAUUUUUCAACAAAUUUCAAAAAAUCCGAAACACACUAUUUGUAUCUAUCUAAAUGAAAAAUUCAAAUCCGAAAUAUAUAGAGAAAUUCAAGAUCGAACAUUUGGACAAAUUCAAAUCCGAAAACAAGACAAAUUGAAAUCUGAAAAUCAAUCCACAAAUCAAAAUCCUCAAACCCCAACACAAUCCAUCCAUAAAUCAUCAAAACCCAACACAAUCCAUCCAUAAAUCAUCAAAACCCAACACACUCAAACAAAAGAAACCUUAAUCCAUCUGUUUCAAACUUUAAUUAAACCGGAAUCCAAUUAAACCCAACACAACACAAUCAAUCGAAGGAUCCUUAUUAAACCCUCAAAGAAAAAGAAAAAAAAAACAAAUUCAAUCGAAAACCCAUUCAUAAUCCAUCUGUUUCAAACAAAAUCAAACCAUUAUUAUACCCAACACAACACAAUCAAUCGCUCAAAGAAAAAAAUCAAACCAUAUCUCGGAUCAAUCGAAAUAUAUGGAUCAAACAAAAGAAUUUUUACAAAGAGAAGACACAGAGAUUUCUCACCGCGGUUUCACGGUGGAUUUCUCGGAUUCACGGUGGCUAUCUCAGAUUCACGGAGAAACGAGUGAAGAGGAAAGAGGAAGAAGAUGGUAUCGACUGAAACAAGAUAUACAGGAGAAGAAGAAGAGGAUCCAGAAGAAGAAAACGAAAUUUUGGAAGAAGAAGAUGAAGGAGUGGAGUAUGAAAUCGGAAAAUCUCAGUCACCGGUAGAGAGGAAAAGAAAACGACCGACUGUCGAGAGUGGGAGGGAGGAUUGUCGUUUUUGGGAAUUAGGGUUUGUUUGAGAAAUAAGAGAAAGAUCCGAAAUUAAGCCCAAUACUAUUGGAUAUUUGACCCAAACAUAGGUUGAGUCAGUAAAUAAGUCGAAAACCCUCAAUAUAAUUGUCUUUUACUUUUUUUUGGUAGGGAUAUAAUUGUCUUUUACUAAUAUUUCAAAUUAAAAUAAACACUUGUAUAAUUGGAUUUUAAUCUAGUCGGCCCCCUGUACUCAAAAUCCAUUCCAUUUAGCCCCCGUAAUAAAAUUAAUAUAGUUAAUAGUUUAUUUUAAUUCAGAAAAAUAGUAAAAGACAAAUAAAACAAGGAAUUUUCACUUAUUUACGACCCAACCAGUCAGUUGGAUCUAGAUCCAUAUGACUUUCGGAUCUUUUAUCCCUAAAGUCAAUCCAAACACUAAUUUCCAAAUCACCUUUUUUUUAUUUCUCCUCUCUACGACUUUUUCAUCUUCUUCGUUUCUCUCUGUCUCGAGUCAACAAUCCGACAAACACAAAGCUUUCAAUCUCUUUUCUUCUUUUUUUUUCUCUCUUUUCUCGAUUCCAUCGAUACUCAUUCAUCUUUUUCAUCUUCCCUCUUCACUCGUUUCUAUCGAUCCAAAGAUCCGUCCUCUCCCUUCUUCUUCGUGAGAAAUUCGCAGUGAAAUCGAGAAAUCCGCCGUGAGAAAUCCGCCGUGAGAACUCCGCCGUGUCUUCUCUUUGUAAGAUUUCAUUUGUUUGAUCCCUAAUUUUGUUUUAUUGUGUUGGGUUUAAUUAGGAUUUGAUUUCUUCCAAUUUAUUCUUCUAUGUGAGGGUUUGAUAUGUAAUUCUCUUUGAUUUUGUUUGAAACAAAUGCAUUUUGAAUGGAAUUUCGAUUACAAUUAGGAUUUUUUAUGAUUACAGUUCGGAUUUUAAGAUUACUAAUAGGAUUUGAAUUACAAUUCGGGUUUGAAAUUCGGACGACAUGUAGCUACUUUUUCUUGUUUUUAUUUGGAGAUAUUGAGUGAAAGUUGUAACUUUGUUUGUAAACUCUUCUUAAAAUGAUUGAUUUCUCUUGGUCAAUUUUGGAAGAAAUCUGGUUUCAAGUAAGUUAAUAAGGAGUGGAUUGCAGACAUAGAUGAAAUUUUUUGUACGUAUAUAUUAGCCUAUAACAUUUGUUUCUCUAUUACGAGAGGAGGAAAAGGAAAAGGAGACUGAGACUGAGACUGAGAAGGAGAAGGAGAAAGAGAAGGAUAAGGAGAAGAAGAAGCAGAAGAAGACUUGGUGUGUUCAGAUGUGUUUUGGUUUCUAAUGUUAUGUAUGAAUCUAAGUGUUUAGGUACAACUGGUACACUUAUGUACAACUAUGUAUCUGGGUUUGUAUGAAUCUAAGUUUUUUUGACAGAAAAAUCACCAAAAAACUAUGAGUCAAAGUGUUUUGAUC
rnacentral:lncRNA from 1 species